GGCACCCAACUUAUCCCAAGUCUCAGUGUUGAUAGAAGAAUCUUGUAGGUUGUCCUCUUGGUCCUCUCCCAUGUCUUGCAUCUUGGCAUCCGGAUCCGCGGAGCAUUUGGAGCUCUGCCAUCUCCCUGAUGGGUGUUGCCAGGACCAACACCACCAGGUCUAGAGCUUCCUGGUGGUCGUGCUCCUCCCGCCAAGUCAGAAUCCUUGGGCGGAGGGUUGGAAGGCCCAGCUCCGAGCACCGCCCGCUCGCCAGCGCGCUUGGGGAGCACCUCACGCUCAACCUUGAUCUGAAAUCCCUCAUUAUUGAACCACACCUCCACAAACCCGUUAAGCUUCUCCGGUGCCUUGCAAGCUAUCUUCAUCCUCACCAGCCCCAACGUGAUGAGGGACAGCUUAUCCACCACAAUUGGUCGACCUAGCAUCCAGAACCCUUCCUUGAUGCGGUCCUCGCACCUGUGCUUCUUAGGGAUGUCGUGCAGCCUCACCCACGUCUCGGGCACGGCCAUCGCCUGCACCUCCUCAUGAAGCAUGUCCCGCACCGUAGCAGUGAUGUCAUUGAUGGACAAGAACAGCUUCCCACUAGACUUAGUCAUAUGUAGCAGAUCUGCUUGAGGAUGUGGAGGUUGAGCUUCCCAGGCUCCGCAGAUAGGAUAGCCGCGUUCUAGAUUCUAGCAUCCACGGGCAAGUCGGCCUCGGCAUCCUCAUCGAACUCAAGACAGAAAAAACCCUCUCCUGAGAUGGCACUGCCCUUGAACUGCAGGUGUAGUUGGCGGCCUCGCGACGGGCAAUUGGCGGAAGCAUGCCCCUCUUCCUUACAGAACAUGCAGAGAGGCUUGUACAUGCACUUGGAUUGAAAGUGGGCCAAGAGCCCACACUUGAAGCACUCGACGUCAGGGGCCUCCUCCAUCGGAAUGGGCUCCUCCGUCAUGCCCUUGGAUGAAGAGGGAAGCGCCAUCUCCAGCGGCACCGCGAGCGCCCGAGGCUUCUUGGCCAGCGGGUCACCGUAGCCCCCACCACAGUUUGGGUGCUCCAUCGGCUUUCUUUCGAGCUCCUGACGCCGUUGACUGGCCUUCUUCUUCUUAUUGCGUUCUUGGAGUUGGAUCCACCAAGGGGGAGGAGGACCCAAUCCCCCUCUCGCCCACCCUGGUCUCGGGACCCAUCGCACUCCUCCCGGGCCUCGCGGCAAUCGCCCGAGCGCUCGCGCAUCGCGUGCUUCGCCUUGUCGCGCGGAUCGCGCUCCCUGCGCCGGUCCGCCUCGUGGUUGGAGAUCUCCAUUGGCCGCUUGUCAGCCCGCCGGUCGCCCAUCACCGCCGCCGCGAAAGACUUGAGAAGAUGGGGAAGGGGAGGAGAGAUCAGGAGGGUGCGGGCGGAGUGAGCGAGGCGCCGCACCUCUCUGGAAGUAGCUGGAAACCCUAAAAUGUCAUGUCCUCUCUUUUGAAAGGUAUUGUGGAACUGCAUCCUCAUUUUCGAUCUCAUGGUUUUAGUUUUCUUUCUCCUAUUUUGCUCUUGCAUGUGUAUCGUAGUUUUACAUUUUCCGCGCAUCAAUGAUUGCAUAGUGUUUAUAAUGAAGGCUACGAAAUUUUGCAUACGUCUAUGCUUUCUCCGAGGCAACUUUGGAAGAAACUAUGAGACGCAGCGGCGGGCCAUCCAUUGUUCCCUGGUACGACAUGCAUUCUAUGUCCUAGACCCAAGGUCGGCACAUGGACUCAGAUGCUGACCGCCUUGCUUUGGGCUGACAAAAUGCUAUUCCAUAACUGGAUUGUUAUACAUGUCGGUUUCGGUCUUACUUAUAUCCAUGACAAAUUUUCAUCAGACAUAGUCGAACAAGCUUGGAUUUGCCCCUCCUAAUGAAGAUAUACGCUCUUGGGCCCCCUCAUGUGAUCCGACUAGAAUAAGCAUGGCCACGCGACAAGUAUUAUGAGAUAAUCCGAUUUCGGCAGUUGAUAUCACGGUACGAGAAAGUGGUCGGUCUAGCACAUGACCGACUCGCCUUGAGCCCGGCAACAUAUAUCGUGAGGCAGAAGGAAUAGAAGCUAGACAUUGUAUAUGUUUGCCAUGUUGGCUUCAUCGGACACUUGAAAUCGACAAGCUUUGCUAGAAGCCACUAUCGACUGGACAAGCAGGAUGCAAUCCGACUCGCGACCAAGUGGAUGAGAAUCUUCGCGCGCUUAAGGGUAUGGACCUGUGAGGCCGGAUCUGACUUCACAAGAUGGAUGUGUUCCGACCAGGAUUUGGAUCUAGGUCAAAUAGACUUUGGGUUUUAGGAUCCAUGCGAGGCCCAUGUGAUGAGCCCGUAAUGGAUGCCUGGAUAUAAUAGAGAUGCAGCACACGAUUUUUGUUGAUCGCUUUUGUGCCGUUAUUAGGGCUUUACAUGUGUUGCAGCUGGCCACACUAGUAGAAAAAGGACCUAAUAUGAGACACAUUAGUGCCGGUUCGAUUUUGAGCCGGCACUAAUGUGUCCAUUAGUGCCGGUUCCAACGGCUAGCCGGCCGUUCUCAUUAGUACCGGUUCAUGGUCAACCUUUAGUACCGGUUUGUGGCACGAACCGGUACUAAAGAAGGUGGUGGUAGUGUGUUGUCAGUCUGGGGCCCGUCCAGCACCUUUAGUACCGGUUCGUGGCACGAACCGGUACUAAAGGUCGACCUACAUAAACCCUUCGUCCACCCGAGCUCACUCUGUUCUUCCCCUUUCCCCUCUCAUCCUCUGUUCUUCCCCUCUUCCUCUCGAGCUCAUCACACAUUUUGCCCAAAAUUUGUCAAGAUUUGAAGGCCCCCAUCCAUUCAAAUGAUCACAAAGGUUAGCAACUUUGUCCUUUCAACUCUCAUUGCUAGAUUAGCUCUUGCAAUGCUUUGUAUAGUUAUUAAUUUGGGAGGAAUUAUAUUUGCUAGUAUUUGAUUUAUAUGCAAUUUGAGGUUAAAAAUAACACUUAGUUUGCAUAUAUAGGUGUGGUUUACUUAGUGUCUUCUAAAUCUCCGUCGUAACCACCGUCGAUCGCCCGCACCGUCCCGUCGCCGGCACCACCUUGUGGUGAGGCUCUUGUUCAUGAAUGUUUUACAUUACCAAAUUGAUGUUUGUGUGAUUUGGAUAUAUAGUUAAUCGUAUAAUUAUCUUACCCGUACGUUGUUUGUUAUACAUAGUGCCAUGGUUUUGAUAUCCGUCCCCGUCGGCCCUCGUCCUUGUUAUAAUUCGGAUGUGGUAUAUUCUCUUUUAAAACUAGUUUUUGCAUUUCGUGUUUAUGACAAAUUAUGCCCAUCAAGUUGACAUAGAUAUUUUUAUCUAGGAGGUAUGUGAACCGGAAAUUCCAACCGACCCUAUUGUCGACAGGUUAAAUUUAGUUGAAAGAGAAAACGAGUAUUUGAAAGAAAAGUUGAAAAUAAUUGAGGGGGAGAAGAUGGAAUUGGAGUUGCAUGUUGCCGAUGUCGUCGAUGAUCACAAGAUCAAGAUGGAGAAAAUGAGGUUGAAGAUUAGAAAGAUUAGAAAAUAUGCCAUUGAUAGUGUGGCUUGGUAUCAUUAUGCUAUUGGAUCAAUUGUUACCUUAGUUGUGAUCUUCAUCGCAUUUGUUGUUGCAUUUAAAUUCUUUAGCUAGAGACUUAUUUGUAUGCUGCAUUUAAUUAAGUGUUGUAUAUGAACUUUAUGUAUGAACUUUAUGUAUGAACUUGUAUUAAUUUAGUCUAUUCGGUGUUGUGUAAUGAAGAUGAGCCGACAAUGGAUGUAUGAUGACCGAUGCUCUCCCGAGUUCAUUAUUGGCGUGCAUACUUUUCUUCUUGCCGCUGAGGCAAACAAGUGGGCGGAUGGUUUUAUGCCUUGUCCAUGUGCUGGCUGUAAGAAUGAUCACAGUUACUCUAUGUCAAGAACCAUUCACGUCCACCUAUUUGAGUCCGGUUUCAUGCCCCACUAUAAUGUUUGGACCAAGCACGGAGAAAUAGGGGUUAUGAUGAAAGACAAUGAAGAAGAAGAGGACGACAACGGCUAUCCUGGCCAUGGGUUCCCUGAAUACAAUGAUACAACAAUGGGGGAAGAAGCUGAGCCGGCAAUGCGGGAAGAAGGUGAAGAAGAGGGAUCAGAUGAGCCCGCUGAUGAUCUUGGUCGGGCCAUUGCCGAUGCAAAGAGAAACUGCGCAAGUGAUCCGGAGAGGACGAAGUUGCAGCGCAUGUUAGAGGAUCACAAGAAAUUGUUGUACCCGAAUUGCGAAGCUGACAAAAAAAGUUGGGCACCACACUUGAAUUGCUGCAAUGGAAGGCAGAGAAUGGUAUAUCUGAUAAGGGAUUUGGAAAGUUGCUGGUAAUGAUAAAGAAUAUGCUUCCAAAGGACAACAAAUUGCUCAAGAGUACGUAUGAAGCAAAGAAGGUUGUCUGCCCUCUAGGGUUAGAGGUGCAAAAGAUACAUGCAUGCCCUAAUGACUACAUCCUCUACCGCGGUGAGUACGAGGAUUUGAACGCUUGCCCGGUAUGCGGUGCAUUGCGUUAUAAGAUCAGUCGCGAUGACCCUGGUGAUGUCGAGGGCGAGCGCCCCGGGAAGAAGAUUCCUGCCAAGGUGAUGUGGUAUGCUCCUAUAAUACCACGAUUGAAACGUUUGUUCCAAAACAAAGAGCAUGCGAAGGCGAUGCGGUGGCACGCAGAAGACCAUAAGAAAGACGGAAAGUUGAGAGUACCCGCUGACAGUUCGCGGUGGAAAAAAAUCGAGAGAAAGUUCUAAGAGGAGUUUGCAGGUGACCCAAGGAACGUAUGGUUUGGUCUAAGCGCAGAUGGCAUUAAUCCUUUUGGGGAGCAGAGCAGCAACCAUAGCACGUGGCCUGUGACUCUAUGUUUGUAUAACCUUCCUCCUUGGUUGUGCAUGAAGCGGAAGUUCAUUAUGAUGCCAGUGCUCAUCCAAGGCCCUAAGCAACCCGGCAACAACAUUGAUGUGUACCUAAGGCCAUUAGUUGAAGAACUAUUACAGCUGUGGAAUGGAACAGGUGUACGUGCGUGGGAUGAGCACGGACAGGAAGAAUUUGACCUAAAGGCAUUGUUGUUGGUGACCAUCAAUGAUUGGCCUGCUCUCAGUAACCUUUCAGGACAGACAAACAAGGGAUACCGCGGAUGCACGCACUGUUUGGAUGAUACCGACAGUAUAUAUUUGGAUAGUUGUAGGAAGAAUGUGUACGUGGGACGUCAUCGAUUUCUUCCGACAAGGCAUCCCGUAAGAAAGAAAGGCAAGCAUUUCAAAGGUGAGGCAGAUCACCGGACGAAGCCUCGCCACCGUACUGGUGCUGAUGUACAUGAUAUGGUCAAGGAUUUGGAGGUAAUCUUUGAAAAGGGUCCUAGCGGAAAACCUGUUCCGAAGGACGCUGACGGACGUGCAUCCAUGUGGAAGAAGAAAUCUAUAUUUUCGGACCUGCCAUAUUGGAAAGACCUAGAGGUCCGCUCCGCAAUCAACGUAAUGCACGUGACGAAGAAUCUUUGCGUGACCCUGCUUGGCUUUUUGGGCGUGUAUGGGAAGACAAAAGAUACACCAGAGGCACGGGAGGACCAGCAACAUAUGCACGGAAAAGAUGGCAUACAUCAGGGUUAGGCCAGCUACGCUCUUACCAAAGAAGAGAAUGAAAUCUUCUUCGAAUGCCUGCUCAGCAAGAAGGUACCAUCUGGCUUCUCAUCGAACAUAAAGGGAAUAAUAAAUAUGGCAGAGAAAAAGUUCCAGAACCUAAAGUCUCAUGACUGCCACGUGAUUAUGACGCAACACCUUCCGGUUGCAUUGAGGGGGCUUCUACCGGAAAACAUUCAAUUAGCCAUUGUGAAGCUAUGGGCAUUCCUCAAUGCAAUCUCUCAGAAGGUAAUCGAUCCAGAAAUCGUACCAAGGUUACAGAAUGAUUUGGUGCAAUGUCUUGUCAGUUUCGAGUUGGUGUUCCCACAAUCCUUCUUCAACAUCAUGACGCACGUCCUAGUUCACCUUUGUGAAGAGAUUAACGUUUUGGGUCCUGUAUUUCUACACAAUAUGUUCCCCUUUGUAAGGUUCAUGGGAGUCUUGAAGAAAUAUGUUCAUAACCGUGCUAGGCCAGAAGGAAGCAUCUCGAAGGGCCAUGAAAAUGAGGAGGUCAUUGAGUUUUUUAGUUAUAUAAAUAUUAGAAUUGUUAUGGAAAUGUUAGUUAUACAAUCAGGAAAUUUUAGAAUUAGUUUUAGUUAGAUGAAUUAAAUUAAUGUCAAAUUGUUAGAAUUUGCAUAUAUAUAGAAUUUUAGUUAUCACAAUCCAAUCACUUAAAAAAUGUUACUUUUUACGGGGAUAUAGUAUUUGUUCUCGACGAUAUGCCCGGCCUGCAUCCUCGCCGUCGACCCGUUCACGACGACGUCCUGCUUCAGGGGACCCAUGUCCGGGACUGGGCUCCGCCGGGCUGGCACUGGGAGGUGCUACCUGGAGGGGCGCGCCGCUUGGUGAGGAACCCGACCUCGGGUCCCGUCGUCGACCCUGAUCUUCUUUGGUGGCGUUCGCGUGGGCCACAUUCGGUGCAGAGGCAGCCGGCCCCGCCGGAGGUGGUGCGUCGCCGUGUCAGGGAGGAAGAUGAGCACGUCCAUCGCUACAUGGCUGCUAUGGACGACGUCAGGUUCUUCACUACUUGGCGGGUUCUUUGGGCAGAUGACCAGAGAUAUGAUCAUGUGAUGGUUCCUUCUCUUUGGGUGUGCACCGCCCGCGCCCCAGGAACCGCGAGUGGCGCCCUAGAUUCUUCUGUAGUACUCGAUGUUUAUUAGGUACCUAGCCAGUGAUGUAUUCGAUAUAUAAUAUUCGAGACGAUGUAUUCGAGAUUAUAUAUAUUAAGACGAUGAUGUAUUCGAGAUUAUAUAUUCGAGACAACGUAUUCAAGAUUCAGUUUUUCCUUAUUGAUUAAUUGCAUCCAUGCAUUGUAAUUUGAAUACUAAAUUGUUUUAUAUUUCUUCUGUAUUAGUAAAGUAAAAGCUAUGGCGGACAAUACCGGCAGAGAGAGAGAAGAGGAAUUGUUCGACAUCAUACGCAGCCCUCACAGGCUAGAUGAUCUGAAUGAAGCAGAUGACGGCUCCCAAUAUCUGAACAAUACCGGAGAGGGUGAUGAAAAGAUAUUCGAUCUCGACGACCGAGCUGAUGAAGUCAUGAACUAUGAUUAUGAUUAUGAUGACACAGACAAUGUUUGUGAUGACACAGACAAUGCUGAUCUUCAAAUAACAAAGACUACCGGUAAGGUAUAUUUAUAUAAGCAUGCAUCAUGGUGAUCAUCACAUGUUUUUUUAUUGAAGAUAUAUUAACGAAUCGAUCUUUCUUCUUUCAGCCCUCCGGAUCGAGCAAAUCUGCUUCUACAGACAGCAAGACAAAGCGAGGCCCGGGCAGAAUGUUGAAGGAUGGUGCAAAGUACCAAAUCGAAUCCAUCAAACUUAGUGGUGAACCCCUCACGCCUAAGAACGUUGCGGACAGGUGGACUCGUCAGUGCGGAGUUCUUGUGAAGGACAAACUCCUGAUCUCCAUUCAAGAAUGGAAAGAGCCAAAGACUAAACGUCCAGGUGUUACUUGGGUCGACCGCAGAGCCAAAGAAGACCUUUUGAAUCUCUAAUGGAACAUUUCACCCUAUCAGAUCAUUUCACUGAAGUAGAUGUGAAGAAAGUCAAGGCUGCUGCUCUUAAGAAGAUGGCAAUUGCAUUCAACACCCACAAGAAAACUGUAUGGGCCAACUACCUCGCUAAUGAAAGGAAGACUCCAGAUUUCAAGGGAACACUGGAGAAGCAAAGAGAGCACUGGGACAAUUUCGUGACCUUCAAGGAUUCAGAAUUAUCUAAGGAACAAUCGAUGAAAAACAAGGCAAAUGCCGCAAGAAAGAUGCAGUUCCAUAAGCUGGGUCCAGGUGGCUACGCGGUGGGAUUGCCUAAGUGGGAUAAGUCUGAGCAAGAGAUGGAGGAUGCAGGGGUCACUCCGGUUACUAGGAACUGGCCCCCCAGGUGCAGAACUUGGUUCUAUGCGCAUGGGGGAGCGUUGGACCAGAAGACAGGCGAAGUUUCACGGAAGGCAAGUCUAAAAGGAGACGAACAAAAGAUAAUUGACGCAAUAGAAGAAGCUUGAAGGGGGGAGUUCACGCCCAAUAGAGAGAACGACGAGCUUACGCGCGCCCUGGGAAAUCCUAAACACCCGUGAAGAACACGAGGCAAGGGCGUUAUUCCCUGGUAUGAGGGCUUUUCGGACUGGAAUGACGACUACAGGUCCCGUGCAAGAAAGAAGAUGGAGGAUGAGAAGAAGAGGAAGUUGGAGGAGGAGCAGAGGAAGCAGGACGCGGAACGCCUUCAAGGCCUAGAAGCAAGGCACGCGGACCUGGCACUCAAAUUCCAGCAGCAGCAGCAGAAGAUCGACUCACUUAGCCAGGAAAGGGGGUCUCAGCAGCAAAGCAGCAAGCGGAUGAUCGUCCAGCAUUGGAUAGCACCGUCCCAUCCAUGCCGAGAAGCAGCGUUGGUUCUACCCCGGGAGACACACUGCUGGAUACAUACCCUGUGGAUGACAUCAUAGAGAACACUAACUGUGAGCUACACUCCAAAAUGAAGAACAUAUCCAUGAAGGUGGCGAACGACGUUUCUUUUCCAGUUACCCCCAAAGCAACCUACCAUUGCAUCCCGAUUCCAGAGGGCUAUGCUCGUGUCAUGGUUGAUGAAGUGGUGGACCCAUAUUCGGGGCUAACGCUUGACAUUCCUGGAGGUGAAGACGAGCGCACACCGGGAGAGGCCAUACAUCGUAUCAUCCUAUGGAGAAAGAAUUGCAUCAUCUUUCGAAGUCAACCGACACCGCGUCGUCUGUCGACUCCUCCUCGAAGUCCGCCACUGAGUAAGCAGACUCCCGCUCCUCCAAGUCCACGAACGCGUGAGACGACUCCUCCUCGAAGUCCGCCACCUCCUCCAAGUCCCCAAACGUGUGAGCUGACUCCUCCGGUUUCAAGUCCGGCACAGCGUCAUGCCACUUCUCCGGUUUCAAGUCCGGCACCGUGUCAGGCCACACCUCCUGCUUCAAGUCCGGCACAUCGUCAGGCCACUUCUCCUGGUCCAACUCCACGUCAGCCGUCUCCGUCGUCUCAGCAAUCGCAGAGGAGACAUGCUGCAGCUUUGGUGCAUAGCGGUACGAGUCGAGGUAGUUCAGGAAGUACAGGCGGAGACAAGCGAUAUAAAUAUGGUCCAAGCCUCACUCCUCUUCCUCAGAGGCCUUACGACAUGACUAAGGAGCAAAACACAGCCAUAGUGCAAGCCCAAGUGGAUGCCCAUUUUGGACCGAAACCGGCACCGCCGCUAAAGGAGAAAGUGCCUGAGAAAGUAAUUGACCACUUCAUUCCUAUGGCUAGAGAACCAGCUCCCAAGCCUGUUGACUCGGACUAUGAGCGCCAAAUCAGGAAGGCACAUCGAGCACGAGUACAGAAGGAAGCGAGCUCAAGCUCGAGCCAACAAGCAGCUGGCAAAGAAUGUGGGAGAACCGUUCCCCAGUUGGGAGAACAGGCGGCGCAAGUGAUCCCCCCGCUUGUUGUGCCAACAACACAUGAGAGGAGUAGUACGCGCGCCAAAUAUUAUUAUGGGCAAACCAUUAGCGUUCCCCAGCAUGGCGAUGUGGUAAUAACCGAGGAUCAUAUAAUGCAGGCUCAAAUGCUCAAUAUCUCUGUUGGACAACUCCUCGAAAUCGAGCCCAUGCCUACGCUUAAAGAAUCGGAAAUAGCAUGGCAAUAUGUCCGGGGCAAACCUUUGGUCCAUCCAGACAAGGUCAAGGACCUCCCAACGAGAAUGUAUCAAUUGCAUCAAUGGUACAUGAACAUUACCAAGAUUUCCAAUCGAGAGUCCCUCAAGGUGAAUGUAAAGCAUGAGCAUUAUUACCAUGAGAAAGCUCUGACCAUUGAGUAUUCAGAACUAUUUCAGUUAUACAAUCAAGACGCACUCGACAAGUCUAUCGUCAGUUUCUAUUGUCUGUAAGUGAUUUCUUUCUGUAAUUUAAGUCUCAGGCUAGUUAUGUAGUGAUAAUUUUGAUCAAUCAUUACAUGUAAUUAUCCUCACUAUAUUUUUUUCUGUGGUAUUAUAUGCAGGAUGAAGAUGUAUGAAAUGAAAAAAGCUGGACGCUAUGGCGUUGGGUUCAUUGACCCAAAUACCAUUAAUCAGGACAUAUGGCAGAUUUAACAUUGUCAAGAUGCUGUAGAGGAAAGCAUGCUAGAGUUCUUGAAGCGCCUCAAUAGCAAUGAAGAUAUACUACUUCCUUACAACUUCCCGUGAGUUACACUGUCUUGUACUACAAAUUCUGUUUUUGCUUACUAGCUAGCUAGAUGUUAAUAAUUAAGUGUAUACGGUUUACUGUAGUUGAUUAAUUUUAUGCACAUGCCCGCUUAAUUAAGACAUGCAAACGUGUGCGUAUGCAGUUGGCACUGGGUCUUGUUAGACAUUAAAGUUGAGGAAGGAAAAGUUGAAUUACUGGACUCACUAACUAAAGAAGAUAAAGACUACACCAUCGUGAAGGGGAUAGUCAACAGGUAAUUUCAAUCAUUAUUAACUAUAUCUCGGCCUAUUAAUUAUUAGUUCGUCAUUUCCUGAUAUGAACUAUUUAAUAACCCAUUUAUUAAUUUUCUUUGCCGGCGGGCAGGGCAUGGGCAAAGUUCAUCAAGGUGACUCCAGGCACAUGGCCAAAAAAGUUGUGUUGGCAUCGACCCAAGGUAAGUAAUUAAGUACUACUAGCUAGCUACCAUCUCUUUAAUUCUUGUUUCAAUAUCAUCAAUUAAUUAUCAUGCUUGAUUAAUUAUUAUCUGAUUCAAUUCCAUUCUCGUAAAGGCCCUGAGGCAGGCGUCGGGGAAUAAUCUGUGUGCAUACUACGUUUGCGAGAACAUUCGCAUGAUGACGUGCGAAAGGAGCAGAUCUGAUAGACAGGACUGGGUACGUUUGUCAGAACACUAUUCACACCAUUAUCGAUAUCUAGUCACACAACUAACACACAUGCAUAUAUUGAUCUCCUUAAUAGUUCAGAUCGGUGCGGGAUAAGCUCCUACCAUCGAACCGCAUACUAGCACUUCAAGAGGAAAUAGCCGGAUUUUUGCUCGACCAGGUCAUAGACCCCAAAGGAGAAUACUAUUACGCGCUACCGCCCCCAUGAACCACUUGUCAUCGUGCUCCUAAGGCACCAAAGGCAACAUAUAUAUGUAGGAGAAAUUGUGUAUAUGUAUAUAGAUGUGUAUGUGUGAAUAAUUAAUGGUGUUGGUUUGUGAGACAUUCGAUGAUAUAUAUANNNNNNNNNNNNNNNNNNNNNNNNNNNNNNNNNNNNNNNNNNNNNNNNNNNNNNNNNNNNNNNNNNNNNNNNNNNNNNNNNNNNNNNNNNNNNNNNNNNNNNNNNNNNNNNNNNNNNNNNNNNNNNNNNNNNNNNNNNNNNNNNNNNNNNNNNNNNNNNNNNNNNNNNNNNNNNNNNNNNNNNNNNNNNNNNNNNNNNNNNNNNNNNNNNNNNNNNNNNNNNNNNNNNNNNNNNNNNNNNNNNNNNNNNNNNNNNNNNNNNNNNNNNNNNNNNNNNNNNNNNNNNNNNNNNNNNNNNNNNNNNNNNNNNNNNNNNNNNNNNNNNNNNNNNNNNNNNNNNNNNNNNNNNNNNNNNNNNNNNNNNNNNNNNNNNNNNNNNNNNNNNNNNNNNNNNNNNNNNNNNNNNNNNNNNNNNNNNNNNNNNNNNACAUACGAGAAAAUCUAUUUAUAUAUAUGCAUAACGUGUACAAUUUGUAGUAUCGUGAAAUACCAGCAAACAAAAAAAAUUGAAUGGAAAAUAAAUCAAAAAACCACCCCAAAUAUUUAGUACCGGUUGGUGUUACCAACCGGUACUAAUGCCCUACGCGCACCCGGGCCUGGCUUGUGCCACGUGGUGGCACUUUAUCGCCGGUUCGUGAUGAACCGGUACUAAGGGGGGGGGGCUUUAGUCCCCACUCUUUAGUGCCGGUUGGCAAACCGGCACUAAAGGCCGUUACGAACCGGUACUAAAGCCCGGCUCUGCACUAGUGCCACCUCUACACGCCGCUUGAUCGUGCGUCCGGAACUAGCUGUCCGCCGCACUAAAUUCCUCCUGCACGUGCGGAUAUCGUUAGAGGCAAUGCAAUUGCGCUGCUCUAGCAAACUUAUUUGUAGGAUCCAACGACCAACUGUAUGAGGGAGGUCGGCGACGAGGCAGAGACGACUCCGAUUACGUGCUGCUUCUGACUCUUCUUCCACUUCAAGGACUGUGUGUCAUAGUGAUAACCUCAUGAUCUAUCUCCUAAGCAUGUUCCUCGAUGUCCUGCGCGCCAGGAAAUUUUGCUAUGCAAUAGUUGCAAGCCGCGUAGCCCAAGAUCCCUGUUGUCCUCUAUUUGACCAAGCUUGCCAAUUGCUCUGUCCAGGCAUGUCUUCUAGACCAGGCUCUCCCAAAGACUCCUCUUCCUCUACUGGCAGCCUAGACACGACUACAACCUCGCACUCACAGGUAGAAAAAGACACCUCCAGAUCCAGUUAUUUUUUUUUCAGGGCCUCCAGAUCAGUUAGGUGAGGGUCGGAGGAAAUAUCAACCUUUUCCCCUACAAAAUCCGACUCAACCCCCGGCAGCUAGCAGCUGGGCCAGCUCAAUUACAACCAACUGGCUAAACUUGAUUCUUAAUGCAAGGCAUAUACAAUGGUUCUAUCUUAAGAAUGCCACGUAGGAUAAAUGAUGAGAUGAAGGAGAGAGAAAUCAUAAGAAAAGGCUUGUCUUCUUUUAUUUAAGAGAAAACAACAAAUGAUCUCAUAACAUAAGGGCAUGUAUAAUGGUUGAUAAGAUAGUCUUAUUUUAAGUCUUGCAUGUAAUUUAGAGAUAACAAAAAACGAUGUCUACAAUGAGUCUUUUCUUAGCCUUAUCUUCAAUAACUAGCUAAUCCUAAAAACAUGGUGAGACAUAUUGUGCUAAGAGAUCAUCUCUUGUCUUCUCUUAAAUAAGAGAAGACAAGCCUUUUCUUAUGAGUUUUCUCUCCUUCACCUCAUCAUUUAUCCUACAUGGCACUGUUAAGAUAGCACCAUUGUACAUGCCCUAAUAUGUCUUACCAUGUUUUUAGGAAUAGCUAGUUAUUGAAGAUAAGGCUAAGAGAUGACCAUCUUAGACAUAUUUUUUUUGUCAUCUGUAAAUUACAUGCAAGACUUAAGAUAAGACUAUUCUUUUAACCAUUGUACAUGCCCUAAAUCAUCAGGCCUACUUUCCAUAUCAGGAAGUGUAUCUCAAUUUUUUAUAUUAGACUAGCACUUUUCAUAUCAGAAAGUGUACUACUAUUAGAAGCAUCACAAUUCUCAUCAAUAUAUUCUUCUAAGAAAUUAUUAACUGGAUUUUUCACCCCAAUCCAUAUUAAUUGUCGUUGAUUUAGUAUAACUUUAUAUUAAAUCAACAAUAAUUAAUAUGGAUUGGAGGGAAUAUCCCAGUCCACAUUAGUAUCUAGAUGAUCGGGUGUCGAUUGUUUUUUGAGAGUAUGGAAGUUGUUUUCAGUGUCAAAGUUGUCAUCCCCUUCAAUUCCCAAAUAGAAGUUGCUUAUCAUAUAAUAUAUAAAUUAGCCGCCAUGGGAGUCAAAGAUUUCAAAGACCCCAAAUCAGAAUAAAUUUCUAUCGGAUGAUUACUCCUCCAUCCAGGUGAAUCAACAAAAGCCAAAUCCUAAACAUCGUCAGGUAUAUUUCUAAAAUUAUUCUUAUUAGAAAAUUUGCCAGUUUUAACGAACAGACUCUUAACAUAAUCAUCAUUUUUAAAAGAUUUUUUACAUUGCUCGGUUCGUCGAAUUCGAUGAUGGCAACUCUUCUUCUUUUCACAAUCCACUGCAUUAAUAUGUGAAAAGAAAAUGAGGUAACAAGAGGGGGGAAACUGCAUACCAGGUCAAAAAGAUCCAGCAAGCUCGCCAGAAUCUUCGUCGGAGACAUCCUGACAAGCAUCUAGAAGAUACUGCCGGAAAAACGACUAGCCACAACUUUCGUUGGUGGCGCGCCAUUUUUCAUCAACGAAGCACUAUAUAUUUCAAAUAGUGCUGGCGUUGGCCAAACUGAUAGUGCCGGUGUGUCAAUUUCUGGUAAUGUCGGUACUAUGUGGGCCCAGCUGUCAUGAAUAGUUGCAAGAUACUGCUGGUGUGCGCUUUAUAAUAACGCCAUAGAUACGUGACCUAGUGUUGUCGUGCCACCGUUUGGGACGCCAGCACUAAGUUUUGCCUAUAUAUAGUGUUUGCAGCCCUUCUUUCUCAAAUACAUUCAUUUCCAUUCUUCACAAAAAUCUACUCCCUCGUAUUAGCUGCUUUGUUGACAAUGGACCCACCGGAGCUUGACGAAUCGGCACGAGCCCCAUGUGUGGGCCCACAACGGCGGGGCGUGUCGAAGGUUUGAGACUCCGCCGCUUUGGCCAAGCUCUCUUCUGGCCCCGACAUCUAUGACAUGAGCUCACCAGGACCAAUACAGUCUGCCCUAUCCGGCGAAUCAUGCCCGUGCAGCGCGACGUCUGUUCGAUCCGGUAGCUAUGCCACCGGCACCAAAGCUGCCGCGAAUCGAGCGAGGGCACCUGUGCUGAUUUGCGGCUGUCGACGCCCUACUGAUAAGCAUAUGUCGCACAUGGAACCGAAUCCAAAGCGAGAGUUCUACAUCUGCGCUAAAUGUUGAAAGGUAAUAACACAUAAAAUACUUCUUAUAUAUUCCUGCUAAUUUGCACAAUUCAACUAUAUAUAUGUGUGUGUGUGUGUGUGUGUGUGUGUGUGUGUGUGUGUAAAAUACCUCUUAAUCUAACAGAAAAAAAGUUACGGGGCUUUUAAGAUUUGGAGGCAAAAAAAUUCAUCAAAUUUCCGUUUUUUUUGAAUUUUUGUUAAAUCUGGUCAAACUAUGGUCAAACUACUUAUUCAAGAAGUAUUAGUGUUACUAAAUAAUUAUUCAAGAAUAUUAGUGUUACUAAAUAAUUAUUUUAGUUUUUUUGAAUUUUGGUCAAAUCUGGUCAAACUAUGGUCAAACUGUGGUCAAACAGUGGUCAAACUAAUUAUUCAAGAAAUAUUAGUGUUACUAAAUAUAAGUGUUAUUUUUUAGAACGGUACUUUCAAACUCAAACAGUGAAAUAUGUGACUUCAUGCUCAAGUUAAAUUCCUGAGGUUAAUAGGAUUGACAUCUUACUAUUGUUAGGAAAACAACAAGUGCAGACUUGGAAAUGAGGGAGAAUAGAACCCAGAAGUUAAGCGUGCUCAGGCUGGAGUAGUGAGAGGAUGGGUGACCGUCCAAGAAGUUAGAUGAUGAGGGGUGAUUAGAGGUUAAAUUGAGAAGUGAUCAGGGGUGAUUAGAGAUGAGAGGUUAAAAUAAUUCAAAAAUUUGAAAAUCAAAAAAUAUUCCAAAAAUAAAUUUUUAAAAAAAAUCAUAAAAUUUCCUUUCGUACGGGUUGGUGUUACCAACUGGGACUAAAGGUGGACCUCCAGGCAGCGGCCACGUGAAGAGCCUUUAGUCCCGGUUCGUGUAAGAACCAUGACUAAAGGGGGGACUAAAUGCCCUUAUGAACCGGGACUAAAAGCCCUUUUUCUACUAGUGCUAGUGUACCUUUAUUGUAGUUCUAUGUAGUGUACUUAUAGUGACAGAAUUUAAUAUAGUUCUAGACUAUGAUUUUAGUGUAGUUGUAGUGUACGUUUUAUUACAUUGUAGAUUGUAGGUUUUGCAGGUACUUGUUAAUAUAUGCACCAUCACAGAUGGCUCCGAAGUUUCAUCAUGUGCGACCAAAGGAAAAUAAGUACUAUGCCAUCAUUAGGAAGGACAAUGUUGUCCAUGAUCUUGGCCAUUAGGGCACCUCGAAGUUAGUUGUGUGUGCCUAUGAUGCCAGGGCGGUAGAGUUCUUUCAAGAAGGGUGAUUCUGAACUUCCCUGAGUGUCGUGAGUACACGAAGUUCCUCGCGCCAGACAGCAUGAGGAUGUGCAGUAGGGCUGAGGAGAAGGCGAACUAACAGGCCGAGAUGCAGUUCUUCGACCCAUUGGUGAGCGAGUUUGCAAGAGAUAACAAACUCGUGGAGCCCAUUAAAAUGAUGCUACUUCAGUAUUCAGUCAAGAAGAGCGCUGAGGAGGAUCUCAUAGACUGGGAUGCCUUGGAGCAUGAGGAGGAAUGUCAACAGGGGUAACAUCAUAGGUCCACUAGGCACGACCACGAGGCCGGUCCCUCUGGCCACUAGCUUAAUUACCGUGCUACCUAUUUCGUAUGAACUGUUUAACUUUAUGUAUAUUUUAUGUUUGAACUACGCAUGGUUUGUUGAACUGUUUAAUUACAAGUAUGUGUUAAUAUGUAGAUGGUUGGAUAGCGCUAGUUCGUACUAACUUCUUAUGUUGCGUUAUAUCUAUAUGCAUCUGUUAUGUAUGUUAUUUUUCUCAAGUUGAUGAAAGUAGUAAAUGGAUGCCCCAUGUGAGACCUAUAGUUCUGUGAGAUGCCAAAGGAAUAAGAUGUUCUUCAUAGAUCUGUUGAAUGACUUCCUCACUAGGACGAUAUAUAUGUUUAGUUCAAGAUGUUCUGAUUGAUGAGUUUCAUAUGUGAUGUAUACGUUUGCAUCGAAAAUUGUCUAACUAGCUGGUCCUUUAUUUUAAUUUUGCUCAAAUCAUCCCUUCUAGGGCAAGGCGUGACUUCUUAGAGAAGUUUCGUGUUCCAGUAGAUGCCACCAUCACAAUCCAGUUCACCAUCAUGAAGAUGCUGACGGCCCAACAAUUCGAUUGUCUUUUCACCAACAAGGCAAACCGCACCUAUUUCGGUUGAUUUGGUUGAAUAGCCCUUGCAACUGCUUGCGAGAUGGAAGCUGAGAGAGAGCCACGUUCUACCUCGACUACGACCAUGAAGAGAUCAUGGUCUACUACAGGCUUGCUGUCAGCAACAAUGGUUCACUUACUCCGGACUAUGACCCUGACUCCGCCCGCCAAAAAGUCCUAGUUAGCUAGUUGGCAUGCAUGGAAUAUCUCAUGUUAUUAUCACCUCUAUUUGUUUGAACUUGUACAUUCAUGUGUGUUACUUUGCGUACUUUGUUGAACUAUAUCAAUAAGUGCAUUGUUGGAAUUAAAUGUUGUUAUUGGGUCUAUUUAUAGUUGAUUUAUUUACUGUUCUUAAACUGGAUUAUGCUGUCAUUUAGGUCGCGAUCGUCGUUGUAUAGCUUUUAUUUACUGGCGUCGCGACAACAUGGAACGCCAGAAUUGAUGAAUAUUAGUGUUGGCGUUGUCCACGUGGCACGUCAUUAUCAUCCAAAAUACUGUUGGCAAAGGGUACAACCCCAGCGCUAAUUUUAAACAAUGGCGCCAUAUUGAUGGCGUCGAGUGUCCAUGUGACCAAGGCUGUUGUUGGCACGCCAUAGCUAGGCUUUUCUCCAAUAGUGUGGCUACCAGGAAGGCCUCAAAGUUUAGAUCUAGCUUGGGGCAUCGCAUGCAGCUGUGGAGCGGCGCACCAUCGGCAUCUGAUGUGAUGUAGAGAGCGAUAGGGCCCUUUCGCUCUCUCCCGACCCACUAGGGUUCCUCCGCCGCCGUCGCCGCCCUAGCUAGCUCCUUCCCGCCGCCGUAGGCCACCGGGCGUGCGCCCCCAAUCUAGUACCACCCCCUCUUCCCCCUCCCCCAUCCCGCGACCCGCACCGUCCCGCGGCGGCCGGGCCGUGCCCCACGUCUCCCGCCCCUAGCCCCUCCUUCCCUCGUUCCUCCCGCCGUCGCCGGUGUGCUACGCCGGCCCUUGGCCAGGCGGCCUUGGUGGCGGCGGGCCGCUGGCCUUUCCCCUCCUGGUCUUGGCUGACGUGGGACAACCUUGGCCCAGGUGGUGCUCCUCGGCGGCGACGGUCUGGCGCGGCGGCGGGUCUUCCCUGAUGCAGCGCGGGUGGCCAAGGUGGUAGUGGAGCUGCCAUUGGUGGCUGGGCAGCGAUGGCGGUGCUCCGGCCCUCCAGGUCCAGAUCUGGGCCCUUCGGGCCCGAUGUGGGUCAGGGCAGGCCUGCCUCAUGGCCUCUGGUUGGCCUGGUGAGCGGCUCGCGACGGAGAUGGCAGCGAUGACACCACACUGUUGCAGCGUGGCGAUGGGAGCUUCAUAGGCCUGUAUGUGUCUGGCCGAGCUUAUGGGCUGUUAGAGGGUAGCGGCGGCGGUGGCCUACGUGCAGCAGCACGGCAGCGGGGACUUUACGAGCCUCCCAGGCUCGCCCGGGCCUUUUGCCUGGUGUGUCCCUGCUGCUGUUUCCGGUCGACACCCGACGACGUCCUCCAGGUGGCGACGUUGCUGCCGCCCUCCGGUUCCAAUGGCUCGGUGUGCUCUUGUCGUUGCAUCUGGACGGCUACCGUAUAUGAUGGUGGAGGUUGUUCCCUCCAGCGUGGUUGUGAUCCUAUCGGACCUUGUCUACGGCUGCUUCGUCUCGGGCUGACUGGCUUUGCUACGUUGGCCAUGGUGAGACGACGAUGGUGACUGCAAGGCCGUGGUGGCGUAUGUUGGUGGAUGGCAUGUUUGGUGGAGAGCCUAUGAUUGUUCGGGAGGUGGGAUUUUGGGGGUCGGGAGAAAUCCUUGUCAUUUUGACACCGACACGGUGACACUUGCUAGUGUCAUCCCUCCUUCCCGGAGGGCGUCGGGUGUACCUCUUCUCGACCCUCGGAGCGUACCGGGGGAAACCCUAGGACCUGUCCGGGCAGCAGUGUUGCCGUCAUCACUGUCCUUCUUGGAGGUGCUGCUUGGUACGCGAUGAAUCAGAGUGCUAGGAUCGCGGUGGGAAUACUUCGGAGAGGACGCAGCGGCUACGAGUCAUUUUCUGGUUGAUCCGCCGGUGUUGCCAUUGAAGGAAAUAUGCCCUAGAGGCAAUAAUAAAGUUAUUAUUUAUUUCCUUAUAUCAUGAUGAAUGUUUAUUAUUCAUGCUAGAAUUGUAUUAACCGGAAACAUGAUACAUGUGUGAAUACAUAGACAAACUAAGUGUCACUAGUGUGCCUCUACUUGACUAGCUCAUUAAUCAAAGAUGGUUAUGUUUCCUAACCAUAGACAUGUGUUCUCAUUUGAUUAACGGGAUCACAUCAUUAGGAGAAUGAUGUGAUUGACUUGACCCAUUCCGUUAGCCUAGCACUUGAUCCUUUAGUAUGUUGCUAUUGCUUUCUUCAUGACUUAUAUAAAGUUCCUACAACUAUGAGAUUAUGAAACUCCCGUUUACCGAAGGAACACUUUAUGUGCUACCAAACGUCACAACGUAACUGGGUGAUUAUAAAGGAGCUCUACAGGUGUCUCCAAACUUACAUGUUGAGUUGGCAUAUUUCGAGAUUAGGUUUUGUCACUCCGAUUGUCGGAGAGGUAUCUCUGCGCCCUCUCGGCAAUGCGCAUCACUAUAAGCCUUGCAAGCAAUGUAACUAAUGAGUUAGUUACGGAAUGAUGCAUUACGUAACGAGUAAAGAGACUUGCCGAUAACGAGAUUGAACUAGGUAUUGGAUACCGACGAUCGACUCUCGGGCAAGUAACAUACCGAUGACAAAGGGAACAACAUAUGUUGUUAUGCGAUUUGACCGAUAAAGAUCUUCGUAGAAUAUGUAGGAGCCAAUAUGAGCAUCCAGGUUCCGCUAUUGGUUAUUGACCGGAAACAGUUCUAGAUCAUGUCUACAUAGUUCUCGAACCCGUAGGGUCCGCACGCUUAACGUUACGAUGACAGUUUUAUUAUGAGUUUAUAACUUUUGAUGUACCGAAGGUUGUUCGGAGUCCCGGAUAUGAUCACGGACAUGACGAGGAGUCUCGAAAUGGUCGAGACAUAAAGAUUGAUAUAUUGGAAGCCUAUAUUUGGAUAUCGGAAUCGUUCCGGGUGAAAUCGGGAUUUUACCGGAGUACCGGGGGUUACCGGAACCCCCACGGGGGUUAAUGGGCCUACAUGGGCCCUAAGGGAGAAGAGGAGGGCCGGCCAGGGCAGGCCGCGCGCCCCCUCCCCCCUAGUCCGAAUAGGACAAGGAAGGGGGGGCCUUUCCUCUUUCCCCUUCCCCCUUUCCUUCUCCUACAAGGCAAGAGGGGGGAGUCCUACUCCCGGUGGGAGUAGGACUCCUCCAGGCACACCCCUAGGGGGCCGGCCGCACCUCCCCCUCCCCCCUUUAUAUACGGGGGCAGGGGGGCACCCCAAGACACACAAGUUGAUCUUCGUGAUCAUUCCUUAGCCGUGUGCGGUGCCCCCCUCCACCAUAUUUCACCUCGGUCAUAUCAUUGCGGUGCUUAGGCGAAGCCCUGCGUCGGUAGAACAUCAUCAUCGUCACCACGCCGUCGUGCUAACGGAACUCAUCCCCGACCCCCUGCUGGAUCGGAGUUCGGGGAUCGUCAUCGAGCUGAACGCGUGCUGAACUCGGAGGUGCCGUACAUUUGGUACUUGGAUCGGUCGGAUCGUGAAGACGUACGACUACAUCAACCGUGUUGUCAUAACGCUUCCGCUUUCGAUCUACGAGGGUACGUGGACAACACUCUCCCCUCUCGUUGCUAUGCAUCACCAUGAUCCUUUGCGUGUGUGUAGGAAUUUUUUUUUUGAAAUUACUACGUUCCCCAACAGGCAUUGUUUUCUUCGUCUUUUCUUUUGGGCGUAGUUGUGCUGUUUGCCCCAGCAAUGGAUCUCAUAUUGUACCGUGUGGUUACUAUAUUAAUAUAGCGGGACGAAAGCAUAUUUCGAGAUAUAGGGACCGUCAUCGAGUCAGUUUGUUAGGUCCACACCCGCUGUUGUCGUUCUCUCCUCCUCGCCUGGUGGAGGACCGCCUCUUCGUUUUGAAUCACCGUCAGCAUGCAAUGGGAGCCUGGUGCCAAUACCGCCAUCACCAGCCUCACCCGCCAGAGCGAGAGGGGUAGUGGUGAGGGAUUUGAAUGCCACCCACGUCAAUUGUUGUGCAGGAUUCGCUAAAUUCGCUUUGUCCAUAGCCCAAAGCAGCACUUCCAUCGGGUAUUUCAUCACUCCUCCACGUUCACUUCCUCUGCCACUGCCAUGGACAUCAGAUUCAGCUUGCUCUUGGUUGCGUAGCACGAGUGGAUUUCCCGAAAGCUCGCAAGCUUCCACGCAUCCCUGCUCGUAAUCAGCGCCAUCCUCUCCUCUAUUGCCUCCAUCAAGAUCCACGCAUGCACCACACUAGACCAGAAGGCCUCCUCGACCUGUGCUAGGUGACACAGAAAAUGUACCAUAAUGUAACCCUACGUAGGGAUGAAAAUAAAGUGGAAACUUUCCGCUUUUCCGCCGGAAAAAUGAAAACAGAGAAGAAAUGUGGAAACGGAAAUAGAAACUUGCAAAAUGUAAAUGGAAAUGAAAAUUUUUAUGCCGAAACGGAAAUAAAAAUGGAACGGUAAUUUCCAGUGGAACAGACGUGGAAACGCAACUUUCCGUUUUCGUGAAUAUGGAAUUUCUGUUUUUUACUAUAGGCCUAUGGCUGCUUUGUAGCCUUACCAUCAAACAACACACAACGACCAACUAAGCAGAAUGGAUCGUUUGAGGCUCAACUUCUACUACCACACACGUACUCAACUAGACCCUGCACACAAUUGUCCUAUACUACUACGAUACUAUGGUAAGUAGCUGACAUAAUCAUAUUAUUUUGUAGCCAUGAUAACAUAUCUUUAAAAUUGUGUGUAUUUUGCUAUGAUUCAAGGGGUUUUUAAGUUCCGGUAAACGACCAUUUAUGUUUCUGUGUCCGCUCUGUAUUUGCGCGAUGUUCAUUUCCGGUAGUAUCCGUUUCCGUAUUCAUUUUUGUGAUUUCUGUAUUUGUUUCCGUUUCUGUAAGAAACUAUGAAAACAAAUGUAGUAGCACCCAGUUCUGUCCGUUUUCGCUCCGUUUUCAUCCCUAACCCUACGCAACCGCUUUUCCUGCAUGACACACACGGUAAUCCACAACAUUGCCUUGGUCAUCGAGCAACACCAGUUGUUGAACCCCCGCUCAGCGGAGGAGGACUGCACGAGAAUAAACCAGCAGGUUGGCUGCACAAAGGUCAGGGAUGAAUCGCACCACCCAUCGAGAGUGUGGCGUCAUUUACUACUCCCUCCGUUCAUUUUUAUAAUUGUUUCAGAGAACUAAAAUUGAGCUAUUUUGCACAUUGUCCGAAGUUUCUACAACACCUUAUAAAAGUGAACAAAGGGAGCACUUGUUCUAUGUGAAUGAAUUUCAAAACCUGUUUCUUUCCAACUGGUUGGGAGUGCUAGCAAGGAUGGCGCAAGCGGUUGACGUGGCUAGAGUUGCUAGCUGGAGUAGUCCCUUCUGAAUGAUUUCAAAAGAUUGUACUUCUGCGUGCAUCAAUCGAUUCACACGCCGGGGGUAUCCUCAUUUUCAAUAAAAAUGCCUAAGAUGUCAAAAUUAGAAAGGAAAUGGAAAACAACAUUGCUUAAUCUAGAGUUUGCAUCCGUUUGGAUAAAGGAUUAAGACAGCAGAAUGAUCAUUGGUGAUGUUAACAUGAACUGAAAUUCUGAAACAGACCAAUAUCUAUCUUGACACACCGGAGAACAGCUCCUGAUUUUUUUCCCUUCAGAUUUAACAGUUUGAUCAUCUUUCGAAAAUUUUGCCUAAAGAAACAUAUUUUAAAAAAUGCAAUGGAUAAGUCAGCAAAAUUUCUAGGCUGACAGGAACAAGACACACAGUGACUAGUUUUUCGCCAAGGAAAGGAUAUCAAAAGACGGCGGCCUUUGUGUACAUAAUGUCAUAGUAAGUGUACCCCAUGAGAGUGCGUGCCAGUCUCUCUGGGCAGUGUUGGCCCAUGGUUCCCACUUCCACCAUAUCCCACUCGUCCCAGAUCUCAAAGAUUUUCUCACCGCGGCCAUCCUCGAGGCGAUGCAUGCAAAUCCCAUACCGUAGCAGUAGAUGCAGUUGCAUUCGAUGCCCGAGGGAUUAGACUGGUCAUAGUGGGAAGUAUCAUAUAUUAGUAUCAUGCAUAUGAUACUAGUGUAUAAUACUACAUUCAUAGUGCAUAAUAUUAUAGAUUAGUAUCAUAGAUGGUCUCAUUUAUUGCCAUGCAUGACACAUAGUAGCAUCACAUUUAUUAUGUUACGGUAUCUAUCUAUUUUACUAUAACUAUCUCUUUUUUUUUAAUAACCUGCCACAUAAGCAUGUUUGCGAGUCCCAAAAACAUGAUACUACUUAUGGCCAGCCUAAGGCCAACCUUAGGCCUCCUUUGGUUCAUAGGAUGGGAAUUUUACAGGAAUAGGAAAAUCAUAGGAAGUGAGAUGACAUGCAUCUCAAUUCCUAUAAAAAAAGAUGUCAUUUGAUGCAUAGGAUAGGGAUUUUUCCAUUAAGUUUAGGCUAAUGUUUUUUUCCUCCAAAAUGUGAAGGAUUGGUUCUUGUCCUACAUAGAAAUAGGAAUCCAUUCCUACAAACCAAUGGGCUUCAAAGGAAUUUUUCCUUUACAAAUCCUAUCCUGUAGAGUUCCUACAAAAUUCCUACAAACCAAACGAGGCCUUAGCGUCCACGGACAGACAACGCUGUUUGCCAAGAAAGAUGGCACGGCUUCCAAUGGUCUUGAUCUGCUCCAAAGUUCUAUUUUCGAUGUCCACCCUGAACACCUGCAUCAGUCCAAACGGAAAAUUCACAUGUCGCACAAGGAGCAGCUCUCCUACGUUGUCGACGAGGAAGGUGGGAGUCGUGAGACGGUUGUACUUCCAGGGGGCGCUCACGAUGGUGGUGACCGUGGGUUUCUGGUCGAGCCUGCAGUUGUGUUCAACUGCAACGACCGAUCCUCUCAUGUCGGCGUACGCUCGGCCUUUGAAGGCCACCAUGGCCCUGAGCUCCUCCACGGCCGGCUUGGCUUCAAACACUGCCUCUCGGUUGAAGGCAUCGUCCCAGGUCGGGUCGAUGCACCCGCCAUAGCUGAAACCAAAACGGCUGUAGAGCACCAUCGGUGAAGAGCCCGCCGCGGACAUCUCCCUAAUGCUCUGUGUGACACUGAGGAAUUGGACGGUAGUAACGGCCAAGCUUACAAGGUGGCCAGUGAAGGGGUUGAGGGUGAACAUCCACGACCCGGCCACCAGGACGAGGCGGCCGUCCUCCGAGAAGGCAACGCAGGUGAAGUUGCGGAGUAUCGGCAGGUCCUUCCACAGGAAGCGGCCAGCGUCGACAUGAAGGAACAGGCAGCGGGGAAUGCCGCCGUCGUUCCCGGCGAGCUUCUCGAUCAUGGCCCAUCGCCGAGGAUGGAAACGAUGGUCCAUGACACGCGGGUCGUCGGUGGAGACGCGCCAGUUGUGGCACACGGUGCGGAGGCUUAUGUAGUAGUCGAGGUCGUUGGUGGCGAGGAAGACGUCUGCGAUGCGCCUGACGAGGUCGGGGGGGAGCGACGACCAGUCCACCGUGCACGACAUAAUCGAUCGGUCGCACAAAACUCACUGGGGAAGACGAUGGUUGUGGCAACUCAGUCUUGUCGAUUACUACCUUUUUUAUCCUUUUUUUGCCAGUUCCACCCUUGAUGCAAUUGGGUCCGACUUUUUUUCACCUCGGUUGCUCCGCCAUCAACUCGCAACUAGGUUUUAUUUGGCUUUUUUCUCGCGAGUUUCCUUCAAAAGCAAAGUAACCCUGCCAUACAUUUUCAGUAGGUUUUUCCCCAAGAAGGCUCAGAUCUGGCGGUGUCAUUUUUUGUCUAUCUUGUUCUAUGCAACUAAUGCAAAAAAGGUUAGGUCACUACUCUAGAUCCUAGUUUUAUGACCCAAGAUCUGCCACUACUCCCGGCAACAAUCACGGAAAAUACAUGGAUGAAACCAGGCUAAUAUACACCCACUUCGAAAACACAUUUCUAAAUCCCGAAAAAAUCAAAAGCACCUUCUACGUGCGUGCAGAAAAGUUUUUGCGGGAAAACAACUAUUUUGUUGGCCUGCGCAAGAAAGAUAAAUAAAUGUGUCCUCAAACGCUAUUUAAAAUUGUUCAGUGGGUAUUGGUAAAAGGGUUCACUGUAUAUAUUAAAAGAAGUUCACCGUACAAGUUCAAGUUCAAUGUAUAUUAAAAAAGUUCAUGAUAUAUUAAAUAUUUGUUCAGUGGGUAUCUGAAAAAGUGUUUGUCGAUAUUUUAGAAUUUUUUCAUGUGUAUUUAAAAGAAAUGUCCUAGUACACAUCAUGUAGCAGGAGCAAACAUGACAUGCAAAACAAGAGCAAAUAUUUACAUGUAGAGCAGCAUGAGCAAAUAUUUCUUAGAACCAAAUCUAAACUAGCCUCAUACAUGUACUUGAGCUCAUCGGGGAAAAGAGCAACAUGAGAAGAUCCUAGUGGCAUCAUACAAUUCAAUCAAGCAGUAUAUCAACCACAAAUAGAAGAAGCCAGAGCAGAGCAUGCAUAACUUGGGGAGAUAAAACAGAGUCGAGAGGGAGGGGAUCGACAUUCCCUGCUGUGGUUGGGCAUCGGCACGGCCGUGGGGUCGUGUCCUGCUCAUCCUCCUCGACUAUUUCGUUUAUGGACAGCACCCACCUGCUCCAAUUGACCAAAAAGGAAAAAGGUUUAGAAUUAGAAAUUCAUCAUAUCAAAUAGAUUCAGACUCAAGAGCACCACUCAUCAUACCACAACCAUUUUUCGUCAAAUAAUAUAGCUGCCAAGCACUUCACACUCUAAAUGAUAAACUCCCAUCGAAUCCCUAGCUGACGACACGAUCGGCGAAUGCAGCCACCAUCACUGCCAUGAAGCCUAACGAAGAGUUCACUAGGCGGAUCACCGCCUAGAGCCGUCGCCCUAGCGUCAAUCAAAACCCAAACCUAGCAUCACCCCAAGCCCCAUUGGCGCCCCCACCUACCACCACCAGGACAGGGCAGAGGGAAGCAGGCUCGAACGGUAAAAGAACGAGCGGCGGAUGGAGCACGACCAACUAGAUCCAUGGCCUCCACACCAGCCCACAGUCGGGUGAGGGGGUCGCCGCCCCCCGACCGCGGUCACCUGAUAAGAGCAUCUCUAGCAGACCCCUUAAAAACACCAAACCUGUAAAAUUCCAACGAAUUUAUGGUUCCGGACCAAUUUUAUGUUCAGAACAGACCCCGUAAAAGUUCGGGGAACCGUAGACGUUUUACAGGCCAUCGAAAACGCAAGCCUCUGCCCUCUAGUUCUAUAGGUCCGAGGACAGUAUACAUGUCACGAACUGGAUCCUUCCGCCGCCAUCCGUACCACCUGUAUCCAGCCGUCGAUUUCUCUCUGCUCCAACAAAAUUCUGCACUGCAAAAGGAUCGAGCGCGUGCAUGCGGCCAUGGCUGAUCCCAUUCGUGCUCAACGCGAGGAAGAGGAACGGGAUGCGGCGCUCCGUGACACCGGCGGCUCCGUAUUUGACAGCUUGAAUCGAUUGGGCACGGUGACGGGAGCUAGCUAGCUAGCUAGCUUCUGAAUCGAUUGCCCACGGUGACGGGAGCUAGCUAGCUUCUGGGCCAAUUCAAGCGGUGACGGCGACGCUGGGCGCUUUGUGCGAGCCGUUCUGGACACCGGCGGCACCGUAUUUGGCCGCUUUGUGCUCUGUCCGCAGGUUUCGUAGGAGUGAGCUAGCUGCCCGUGAACACAGGCAAGAGGAAGAAGAAGACGUGGUGGAAAAUAUACACGAAUAUUCGGUAUUCCAGUCUAAGCUUAAAGGAUCUGCUCGGCCGCAGCUCAAACCAACUCUUAAAAUGUGUUUUUCGCGAAUUGAAAACCGCAUUUUCAGUUUUCUGAUUUAAGGUUCUGCUAGAGAUGCUCUGAUGGCAAUUGCCGCAACGCCCUUGGCUACAACCACCACCAGUGUCAAAGAUCUUGGUCACAUGACCUAGAUCUGGGCCAGGACGGGCCACCCUGGUUGGGGCGCCCCUAGGCCAAGGGUGGCAGGAUGCCAGCCCUCCAUGUAUCGUCAGCUGUAGUGUGGCUGCAGAAUGACGAUGGAGUUGCGGAGAUCCAAUGGUAACCUGUGCUAGUUUACGGGGAGGAUCCCGGCUGGGCGACUGGCGGCAGCGAAUGGAACUGUAGUAAGUCAAAUUAGGUGACUUGAAUUUGUCUAAAUAUGAAUGUAUCUAUAUUUGUUUAGUGUCUAGAUAAAUAUGGGUCAAUUAAUUUGGAACGGAGGGAGUAUGAUCUACAAACUUCCUUUUGUGCCUCGAACCUAUAAUUUGAACUAAAUUUGUGUGCUUAAAGAAAGUACGCAGCUCCUCUGUUCAUCUUUUCUUAAAUUUGCAUUUUGAUUGUAGUUAAGUUUCUACGGUACCAAAGCUUAAUACGAAUACAAUAGUGAGUACGAUCAUUUCAAAUUCAACAUUUUCCAGCACAGAGGUUAGUAUAAAAGUGAUGGAUGGUUUCGCCUCAUAAAGUCCAGCAUAUACAUAAAUCAAGCCUCAGUUGUUUUUACCUACAUGCAUGGACACUUGUAUGGUUCCACGGAUGCGGUAUAUCAUGGAUUCACGGUCAAGGUACACAAAGAAGCUACUCCGUUACUUUCUCCCACCGGCUGCAGCAUGUAUAUGCACUGCUAGCUACUCCCUCCGUUCCAAAUUACUUGUCUUCGAUUUGUCUAGAUACGGAUGUAUCUAGCACUAAAAUAAGUCUAGAUACAUCCGUAUCUAUACAAAUCUAAGACAAGUAAUUCAGAACGGAGGGAGUAGUAGUUACUAGACACCAUAUUACAGGUAUCCGACUAGAACUUGUGCAAGGCUCAAGGGCAGAAAUCGACUCGGCCGUUCCACGGGCUCGAAGAGUGUCUCGUCGCUGCCGUCCACAAGACGGUGCAUGCAAAUCCCGCCGUUCUGAGGACGAGGCACGCGGUCGACGUAGUAGACGCAGUUGCCUUCGAUGGCAGGAAGAUUGCCAGCAUCUACGGACAGACAACGAUUGCGGCCAAGGAAGAUAGCACGGUUUCCUAUACAUUUGAUCGCCUUGAGAAUUUUAUUCUCGAUGUCAACCCUGAAAACCUGCAGGCCGGAAAACAGAGAUCAACUCUAAUAAAUAGAUUUGGCUAGGGUUCCCCCGCUCCCCUCCCGCCGCCGCCGCCCCUCCCGCCGCCGCCGGCCGUCGGCCCCGCCCCCCGCCUCCGCCCCCCUUCCGCCCUACCCCUCCUCCGUCUAUACCNNNNNNNNNNNNNNNNNNNNNNNNNNNNNNNNNNNNNNNNNNNNNNNNNNNNNNNNNNNNNNNNNNNNNNNNNNNNNNNNNNNNNNNNNNNNNNNNNNNNNNNNNNNNNNNNNNNNNNNNNNNNNNNNNNNNNNNNNNNNNNNNNNNNNNNNNNNNNNNNNNNNNNNNNNNNNNNNNNNNNNNNNNNNNNNNNNNNNNNNNNNNNNNNNNNNNNNNNNNNNNNNNNNNNNNNNNNNNNNNNNNNNNNNNNNNNNNNNNNNNNNNNNNNNNNNNNNNNNNNNNNNNNNNNNNNNNNNNNNNNNNNNNNNNNNNNNNNNNNNNNNNNNNNNNNNNNNNNNNNNNNNNNNNNNNNNNNNNNNNNNNNNNNNNNNNNNNNNNNNNNNNNNNNNNNNNNNNNNNNNNNNNNNNNNNNNNNNNNNNNNNNNNNNNNNNNNNNNNNNNNNNNNNNNNNNNNNNNNNNNNNNNNNNNNNNNNNNNNNNNNNNNNNNNNNNNNNNNNNNNNNUCCUUGGCGGCGGGGCGGCGUGGUGGUGCCGGGUGGCCGUCGACGCGCCCCCGGCCCAGAUCCGGGCACGUCGGGCCCCAUCUGGGCCCCUGGGGGCCGGCCCCCCGGCAUGGUCUCGUUGUCUGCGGCGCGGUGAGGAGGAGGAGCGGCUCGGACUUGGGGCGUCGGCGCCGAUGGCGUGCCGGCAGCAGCGCGAAGGCGGGAGCUUUACGGGCCCACGAGGGCUCGGCCGGGCCUGUGGGCCUACGGGCCUGGUGUGCUCCUGCUAUCGCGUCCGGACGGCUACUGUCGCUGACGGUGGAGGUGGGGCCCUCCCGCGUGCCGAUGGUGCUAAUGCCCUAGUCCCGGCUCUCAUUCUUCGUCGUGCUGUCCUCACUUCGCGGUGCCGUGGUGAGACGGCGUGGAGGCCUCAUGACCGCGUUGGCGUAGGGUGGUGGUUGGUUUGGUGGCGGGAUCCGGAGCGCCCGAGGUGCGGGUUGGGAUCGGGGGAAACCCCUGUCGGCGGGGCCGACUCCGGCGCGGUGGCGCCUGUGGGUGCCGCCUGACCUUCCGGGAGGGCGUCGGGGGCUACUCUUCCUCUCGCCUCGUCGUGUACCGGGGAAACCCUUGGCAGCAGCAUCGUCAUUGUCGCGAUCCUUCUUGGAGGUGUUGAUUGGUGCCGACGCUUCGGAGUCUUGGAGCCUAGUGGAUGAGCCGGGUGGGCCUAGCGAUCGCGAGGCUUCUUCGUUUUUGUUGAUCCGCCGUUGUCGGCAUUUGUUUCUUUUGCUCUUUCUCUGUUGUUUCUUUUGGGCGUGACUGUGCUGCUUCCGCCCCAGCAUCUAUCCCUGUAUGCUUCGGUUGGUUGCUUUGUAUACAAAGCGGGGGGAAACCCUUUUUCGGUAAAACCUGCAGGCCGCCAUGGGACGACAGGAAGCGCACAAGGAGCAGCUCCCCGGCGUUUUCCACGAGGAACGUCGGCAGGAUCUCCUCCUCCCAGCAGCCGGCGAUGACGGUGGUGAUCAGCUCCAACUCCUCGUUUUGGCGCUGGCCUUUCACGACCACGACGGUUCCCUUGUCGUCGACGGCAUAUGCGCGGCCUUGAUAGGCCACCACGGAUCCGAACCCGUCGAGAUCUGGGUAAGCUGAGAACUUCGUCAUCCAGUCGAGAUCGCUAGUCGGGUCGACGCAGACGCCGUGAAACGGAUAGAAGAUGUAGAACAACAUCGGCGACGAGCCAGCUGCCACCAGUCGUGCGCCGAGGCAGUACAAGUACGGGGGUUUCUUGGAAAAACGGACGAGGUGGCCGGUGAAAGGGUUGAGGACGGCCAUCAUGUUGAGCCCAAAGGUCUCUUGCAGGACGAGGAGACCGUCCUCGGUGGAGGUGAUGUAGACGUACCCUCGGAGCAUGAGCACGUUCAUCCACAGGAAGCGGCCGGUGUCAGCGUGCAGCAAGAGGCAGCGGCCGGAGUCGCAGUUCAGGGCGUGUGACCGCAGCAUGAUCCAUCCUUGGGGGCGGAACCGCUUGUCCGGGCCGCGCGGGUCAUCGGUGGCGGCACGCCAGUUGUGGCACACGGCGCGGAGGCUCAUGUAGUAGUCGAGGUCGCUGGUGGCGAGGAAGACGUCCGCGAUGCUGUUGACGAGCUCGGAGGGUAGCGAUGACCAGUCCACCGGCGCCAUUGUUGCAGCGCCGUGGCGGUGCUAGUUUGAGCCUUUGGGGAACUGGGGAACGUACAGCCAUCGGCUGGAGGGGAAUAUAUGCAGGCGUGCCGCGCGUGGGCAAAGGAAUCUCGAAGGGUGCUGCCAUUGCAAUACGCUGACCGUCUGACGCUGUGUCUUCCGCGCCGCCGGCGUGGUGCGCGUUCGCACCAACGGCGCGCCUGGACUUGCUUUGGGACCCGGCGCACUCACGCGAGUUAAACUGCUUCGCUUCCCAAAGCGGCGGGCUCGUGUCAGACCAGACUAGCUAGAAGUCGCCCGUUGAGGUUCUCCACGCACCUCUGCCGCCCCGUACUGUAAACAACACACCGGCGCCUGCGCACGGUGACCAUGGCGUGGGCGGCCGACUGGUCAUCCCUCCCCUCUGAGCUCAUCAGCCGCGUCGCCGACGUCUUCCUCGCCACCAGCGACGUGGACUACUACGCGAGCCUCCGCGCUGUGUGCCGCAACUGGCGCGCCGCCACCGACGACCCGCGCGGGCCGCACCCCCGCUUGCGUCCCCAUCGCUGGGUGAUGCUCGACGAGCUCGACCGCAACGCCCGCUCCCGCCUCUUCCUCAACAUCGAAACCGGGCGCUUCCUACGGAGGGACAUCCCCGCGCUCUACUACUGCUUCUACGUCGCCGCCGCCGACGGCCUGCUCGUGCUGCUCGCGAGCAACAGCGAGACCAGGCUCUGCGUCCUCAACCCCAUCACCGGCUCCGUAGUCCGGUUCCACGCGACCGUCCACGUGCACCCCCGGGACAUUGGCUUGGCCGUGGCCGGCUCCUCGCCGAUGGUGCUCACCAUCUUCUCCAGCCCAAGCCACGGCGCGUGUUUCGAGCCCACCGUCCCCGGUGUCAACCCGUCGUCCCCGCCGGUGUUCACGGCCGCGCCAACCCUCGACAGCUUCGCCUCCGUGGUGGCGUUCCAAGGCCGCGUGUACGCCGCGGACCGUGCCGGAUCGGUCGCGGUUGUGGAGUACACUGGGCCUGACACGACGCCCGAGAUCACCAUCCUCGUCGCCGGCGACCGGCUGGCGAAUACUUACGCGUUCCUCGUUGACAGCGCCGGGGACGAGCUGUUGCUGGUACGCGCAACGUCGACGACCGCCACCGGCCGCAGCAUUCAGGACUUCAAAGUGAACCUCGGGACAAACUCUUUGGAGCCGGCCAGGACCAUCGGGAACCGCGCUCUCGUCCUCGGUGUCCAGUCCAUCUCCGUCGACGUUGGAAAUGUCCCCGGCUUGGAAGGGAACUGCGUCUAUUAUGGCAACAGCUUGUUCCGGCAGACGGGGAUCCGCGUCUACCGCAUCAACGACGGCAGUGAGGAGGUACUGGCCGCGCACCCCACGGACGAGGAGCGGCGUCGUGGGCAGGGCCGUGUGUUCCCCUUGCCCCUGGCCCAAAUUCUCGUGAUCUCCGCGUGGCCUUUCCGUGAUAGUGAUUUUGAAGGUUGGUGAAUUUCUUUGAACGAGGUUUCACAUUUCCUUAGGGAUCUUGAUGAAUUAUGCUGAUAUUUGAUUGAUUUUGAGAAAUAGUACCAAAAUGAACACAACAAUUCUUGAACAAACUACAAUGGCCGACCGGCCCAACCGUUCCUCGCGCGACGGUACUAGGGUAGCUGCAACUGCGGUGAACCGCCGGAGCUUCCAGUGGUGAACACAACCCAUCAGGGUUGCUGUAACCGCGAUGCCCACACACGCCGUUGCUGCAAUUGGCUAAGACGGAGCACAAUUGGCGGCAUGUUGUGUUCCAGCAAAUGGUCGUUAAUAACUUGAUUUGCUGGAAGGGCGGAACCAUGCGGGGCACCAGUGCUAUAACCAUGUGGGAGGCUAUGGGGGUGAGGUGGGGGGUGAUGAGGCGCUACAGGGGACAGCUGCCGGAGCAAGAAGAAGAGGCCGCGUGCGGGGCGUAGCUGCUGAAUCAUGCGGUCUUGGGCGUGCGUAUCAUGCGGUGCACGGUGAUCGUCUGAAAUUUAGGCCUGUCGUCUGGCGUGUAGUGUUGACCUAUUACUCCCAAACUUCAAACUAAGGCUGGUCAUAGUGGGGAGUAACUUAGACUAGUAACAUAUGCAUGUUACUAGUCUAUGUUACUACCUCUAUAGUGCAUUGUAUCAUAGAUUAGUAUCAUAGGUGGUCUCAUUUAGUGCCAUACAUGACACAUAGUAGCAUCACAUUUAUUAUGUUACGGUAUCUACCUAUGUUACUGUAACCAUCUCUCUCUUCUUUAAUUUCCUGCCACAUAAGCAUAUUUGCGAGUCCCAAGUGCAUGAUACUAUUUAUGUUACCCCCACUGUGGCUAGCCUAAGAUAUGUGAACACACUCUGUGAAUGAGGGGGGCGGGGGUGACUGAUGGGGGUAGCCUAGGUUGGGAUGACUCUUUUUUUUAGAAGGGUUGGGAUGACUGAUGGGGGUAGCCGAAGCUGAGGCAGUGGCGGACCUAGCCCACUGGCCCAGUGUGGGCCAGCAGUGCUACUGAACAUAUACAUUUAAUUUUUUUCUUUUAUUUUUACCUUUUCUCCUAUGGUAUAAAAGAGUUUUCCAAGUCUCGGGGUGGGCCAACCUCCGCCACUGGCUGAGGGUUGAUUCUAGCUAGCAUGUGCCCGACAUGUGUGAUGUUUUUUGCACACCAUUAACGACCAUUUUCCUUGUUACCUCAUUUACCUCUACAUGCACUGUAUCCUCUCCCCUUCCAAUUUUCGGAACCUAAAAUUUUUCUAAAGAUCCAUUGGAAGUCAACCUUGAAUUUCCUUGAACGUUGACAAAAAUUUGUUGGACUACUUAUAUGUUAGUUGAAAGUUUGAAAACAUUGGUUGAAAGCUUUAUUAUUACUAGCAUGUCGAUCAAAUUAACAAAAUCAUAUAAUUACGUGAAAGUUCUUUCUUGAAGAGGGAAAGCAGGAGGUGGUUGCUGGCUCCGACACCGCCUUUUUGGGUUGUUGGAAAGUAAUCACUUGUCUUCUCCAACCAUCUCUUAUCUUUUUCUUUUUGUGAAUGCCAACCAUCUCCAUAGGAGGUUCGAAACUCUCAUGUUUUCAAUGUAAAUUAAGACAAACUCGUGUAUGAAACACAAGAAAGAAAGAGUAAAGCGUUUGUACGGAGCUAUGCUCCUUGAUGUCGGCGGCUUGGGAUCUUUAAAUUUAAGGGAGAAUUCCUUAUUUAACAUUGGCAUAAUUCUUUUGCCAUGUUUGACAUGGGAAAACUUUUUCUUCCUUAUCUAACAACAAUGCUAGAAUUUAUUCCCGUUGUGACACUUCCAUCUAUUUUAAGUACUAAUGGUUUUAAGGGGGUGUUUGGGUCAGGGACUUUUUAGUCCCAAAGACUAGAAAAAGUCCCUAAGAAGUCCCUAGGAACCAAACGGGAGGGACUUUUUCUACAGGGACUAGAAAAAGACUCUACUGGAGAGUCUUUUUUGAUUAGUCCCUGGGACUAGAAAAGUCCUAGGACUUCUGAACCAAACACCCCCUAAAUGACACAUGAAAAGAUGAUUUUACCCCUGAUGCAACUUGUGACCAAAAUUAUUCACAUGAGAAGCAAUAACUUUUUCCUGUUGUUAAUUGCAAAAUUGGGCAGAACCUCCCCUGUAAACAUGCAAAAAAUACAUAUCUCCACACACAAGUAUUUCAAAUUUUAAUUCAAAAAUUGGGCAGAACCUCCCCUAUAAUUGAUGCCAUAUCCUCUUGACACAAUUCAGAUAUACAUAAUUCAACACACAAUUUUCAAAUUUGCCAAUGGCAUGAAACAUAAACAUCCGGGCUCAUAUCCAACUACACAUAUAUGACUUACAAUAAAUCCAGGUUCACAUAUAUGAGUUCAAGUCCACACAUACAUCAUAUUAGCAACCCAAAAGUGUCUCACAUCAUAUCUAGGUUCACAUAGAUAGUGCAAGUCCAUACAUAUAUGCAUGACAUGAGUAGCACAGAAGUGACUUUAGGUUCACAUACACGAGUCCAAGUCCACACAACAUGACAUGAGCAGCAACAAAAGUGACUUUAAGUGACAGAAAUUAGAUGAAGUUCACGAACCGAGCCUUCUUUUGCUUCUUGUGCUCAUUGCAGGGAUGGCUAGGUAGGAUUUUUUGCUUCUAGUGCCCAUUGCAGGGCUGUCAAAAGGCACCUUAGGACCAUUUUGAUCCUUUUUAAUAAGCUCCAUCUUCCUUGUAGCCCUUAAAAUAACAAUAUGUUGUCAAAUUGCAGUGCAUGUAUGGCAGCAGUACGUAUGGAUAAUAUUUGAUACAUGUAUGGCAACAAACAACAACAUUAACUAUGCAUAAUAUGUGAUAUUAAAAUUAAGAAUUAGGAAAGUUCACCUUUUCCUCCCUUUUGCAUUUCUCUUGUUUGUAGUAUCAUCCUCAUGUUCUAUAUUGUUGUCAGGUUCGCUAUCACUGUGCCACUCGAUAAUAGGCUCAUACGGUUCAGAGGGAUCACAAUAUGCAAUGAUCAUAUGCAGCACCUUUGUCUCUGAGUGUUUUUCAAACAUAAGCAUCAAAUCUUGGUCAGAAUUUACUUUUGGACAUGUUUUAAGAUCACCAUCAUAAUACUGCACAUGUGCAACUUCCAUAUAACGCGGCGGGUACUGCUUUACAAUUGAUUCAACCAAAGCCUUAUAAUUUGUCAAGUCACAAUCGAUGAUCUUUUCAAAACAAAAACAUCGUAUGUCCUUCCGAGCUUUUUUUGGAUUGCCGAACAAUUUAAUUCUAAGCAAAUAACUUGAAUUUGGAUCCAUCCUGUGAAUUAAGAAGACAAUUUUGCAUCAGACCUAUGCAUGAGUAUUGCAAGCUUUAGCCUCAAUUACACAGCUACACAAACUAGCACAGACCUAUGCAUGAUAAUUGCUACUGGAUGGAAUGUAUUGCUACUAACAUUGCAUUCAAAUGAGGAAAAUACAAACAGAGUAGUUGCAUUCACUUGGACUCCUACGAAUGACACUUACCCAUCUGGACACGCGCAUGUAGCCGAGGACAAACGAGCCGCGCUCUGGUCUGAAGCACGUGCCGAGGCCGGCCUAGCAGUACCCUGGCCGGAGUCUUUAGCCACGCCGGCCGCAGAGCACCCAACCACUUCCGCGCCUUGACCCAGGCCCGCUGCAGUCGAGCGACUGCCACCUGCGAAAGAUAUCUCGUCGGCACCCUCAAUCGCACCCUCAACCGACCCCUCCUCAGACGCAGCCCCGCCAUCGCCAUUGGCCACCAGCGCUGGAUCCACAGCGGCGCCCAGGCCUGACCCGUCCGCUGCACCCUGGUCGUCUUCCUUGGAGUUGUCUCCCUCUGCGGCAACGCCCCCAUCCAUAGCCCUAAGCCGCCGCUGCCGCUAGGGUUCGCCGCCGCCGCGCUAGGUUGGACAGAACGGAGAAAGGAGCACAAAUCACGGGGUCAGGACUCGGGGGAGAGAUUGAGGCCGGUUUGGGCUUUGUUUUCUUGGUUCUCCUGCUUAUUAUGGACAGGGGCAAUUUCGUACAACUAGAAAAAAAUGACAUCGGUGAAUGUAGACUUUAAAGGCUUCUCCUAACAGAACCGACGGGUGUGUUAGGAAGGGAAAAAAUAAGGAAGGAAUUUUUAUGCAUUGUUAAAAUAGGGAACCAACAUUUAAAACGGUGUUAUAUAAGGAAUUUUCUCAUCUUUUAACCACAAUGUUCUGAAUAGCGGCCAAAAAAUGACGAUCGGGCUGCGGUGCCGAGGAGAACAAAGUAAAAAAAACAGUGUGGCCCCAUCGGAAACGGUAUGGUUCGUGGGAGGAAUAACUGAUGUAGAACCUUCCCACACGAUUCAGAGAGCAUUGAAGACAAAUGGGAGCUUCACCACCACAUCAUUGGAAGGAAGUGAAAUCCUUGCUAAUACUAAGGUGUAGUAGCAAAAAAGAUUAACUAGAACUCACAUGUUUGUGUCAUGUUAAACAAAGAAAGAAUCAUAAUUACAAUACAUAUAUAAGUGAAGAACUAUGUUCUCCAAAGCAUUUGAAAGGGAAAAACUAAUCUUAGCUUGUCUCACUUGACAUGCAUACACAUUGGGGGCAAUACUUAAUCACCAUAGAUGCAAUUAGCUUAUAUAGCUCAACAAACCAAUUGAAUACAUAAGUCAUAGGUGAGAAAAGCUUCGGCGUACCAUGCCUUCAGGUCGCAUGCGACCAGCUCAUAAUGUGAUACUAGAAUGUGUGAACAAUGUACAUUCGAAGAUUCAAUCCAUUAGUGCGUACAUGUGCGAUAACUCCUGGUCAGGUAGCUUCUUAUGUAUACACAAUCUAGGCAAUAUAAUGGUGCAGAAUAGCUUAUUCUACACUCCUGCCAUAUACAAAAUCUAGUAAACGGUGUACAAAAUGUAGUAAUUCUGAAAAUAGUUUUUUUACUAUCCAAGUUUGUAAUUUACUACACAUUUUCAAAAUACUAUGUUUUGUAUACUAUGUUACUAUAUUUUGUAUGUAGCAUUACUAUGACAGAUUUGGUAGGAUCGGACAUGAUAACUGCGUUAGGUAUGAAGAAUUUUGAAUCAGUGUAUCUAAUAUUAUACAGGGCCGUGCCCAUGAAAUUGGAACCCCGGUGCGAAAUCUCAAGUUAGGCCAUAGCUAUAUAUAAGAGUAAAAGCAAUGGAAAUUAAGGAGCUACAUUGAUGCUUAUUGGUUUUAAUUUUCGCUCAGAUCUAUGGCUUGCAAUAGAAACAAGUCAUGAUACUCUUAACUGCCGACCUACCUUUCUGUUAAAGGUGCUACAUUUCUAGUCUUAGUUACUAAUGUUAGGGAACGUAGUAAUUUCAAAAAAAAUUCUACGCACACGCAAGAUCAUGGUGAUGAUAUAGCAACGAGAGGGGAGAGUAUAGUCCACGUACCCUCGUAGACUGUAAGCGGAAGCGUUAGAACAACGCGGUUGAUGUAGUCGUACGUAUUCACGGCCCGACCGAUCAAGCACCGAAACUACGGCACCUCCGAGUUCUAGCACACGUUCAGCUCGAUGACGUCCCUCGAACUCCGAUCCAGCUGAGUGUCGAGGGAGAGUUCCGUCAGCACGACGGCGUGGUGAUGAUCUUGAUGUACUACCGACGCAGGGCUUCGCCUAAGCACCGCAACGAUAUUAUCGAGGUGGAUUAUGGUGGAGGAGGGCACCGCACACGGCUAAGAGAUCCAAGGGAUCAAUUGUUGUUGUCUAGAGGUGCCCCCCUGCCCCCGUAUAUAAAGGAGCAAGGGGGGAGGGGGCGGCCGGCCUAGUAGGGGCGCACCAAGGGGAGUCCUACUCCCACCAGGAGUAGGACUCCCUCCUUCCUUGUUGGAGUAGGAGAAGGGGGAAAGAGGGGAAGAGGAGGAAGGAAAAGGGGGCCGCACCCCUUGUCCAAUUCGGACUAGAGGGGGGCUGCGCGCCUCCUUCCUUUCGGCCUCUCUCCUCUAUUCCCGUAUGGCCCAAUAAGGCCCAUAUACUCCCCGGCGAAUUCCCGUAACUCUCCGGUACUCCGAAAAAUACCCAAAUCACUCGGAACCUUUCCGAACUCCGAAUAUAGUCGUCCAAUAUAUCGAUCUUUACGUCUCGACCAUUUCGAGACUCCUCGUCAUGUCCCCAAUCUCAUCCGGGACUCCGAACUCCUUCGGUACAUCAAAACUCAUAAACUCAUAAUAUAACUGUCAUCGAAACCUUAAGCGUGCGGACCCUACGGGUUCGAGAACAAUGUAGACAUGACCUAGAACUAUUCUCGGUCAAUAACCAAUAGCGGAACCUGGAUGCUCAUAUUGGCUUCCACAUAUUCUACGAAGAUCUUUAUCGGUCAAACCGCAUAACAACAUAUGUUGUUCCCUUUGUCAUCGGUAUGUUACUUGCCCGAGAUUCGAUCGUCGGUAUCCAAUACCUAGUUCAAUCUCGUUACCGACAAGUCUCUUUACUCGUUAUGUAAUGCAUCAUCCCGUAACCAACUCAUUGGUCACUUUGCUUGCAAGGCUUAUAAUGAUGUGCAUUACCGAGAGGGCCCAGAGAUACCCCUCCGACAAUCGGAGUGACAAAACCUAAUCUCGAAAUACGCCAACUCAACAUGUACCUUCGGAGACACCUGUAGUACUCCUUUAUAAUCACCCAGUUACGUUGUGACGUUUGGUAGUACCCAAAGUGUUCCUCCGGUAAACGGGAGUUGCAUAAUCUCAUAGUUACAGGAACAUGUAUAAGUCAUGAAGAAAGCAAUAGCAACAUACUAAACGAUCAAGUGCUAAGCUAACGGAAUGGGUCAAGUCAAUCACAUCAUUCUCCUAAUGAUGUGAUCCCGUUAAUCAAAUGACAACUCUUUUGUCCAUGGCUAGGAAACAUAACCAUCUCUGAUAAACGAGCUAGUCAAGUAGAGGCAUACUAGUGACACUAUGUUUGUCUAUGUAUUCACACAUGUAUUAUGUUUCCGGUUAAUACAAUUCUAGCAUGAAUAAUAAACAUUUAUCAUGAAAUAAGGAAAUAAAUAAUAACUUUAUUAUUGCCUCUAGGGCAUAUUUCCUUCAGUCUCCCACUUGCACUAGAGUCAAUAAUCUAGUUCACAUCGCCAUGUGAUUUAACACCAAUAUUCAUAUCUGUAUAUGAUUAACACCCAUAGUUCACAUCAUCAUGUGACCAACACCCAAAGGGUUUACUAGAGUCAAUAAUCUAGUUCACAUCGCUAUGUGAUUAACACUCAAAGAGUACUAAGGUGUGAUCAUGUUUUGCUCGUGAGAGAAGCUUAGUCAACGGGUCUGUCACAUUCAGAGCCGUAUGUAUUUUGCAAAUAUUCUAUGUCUACAAUGCUCUGCACGGAGCUACUCUAGCUAAUCGCUCCCACUUUCAAUAUGUAUCCAGAUUGAGACUUAGAGUCAUCUGGAUCGGUGUGAAAACUUGCACCGAGGUAACUUUUACGACAGGCUCUUUUAUCACCUCCAUAAUCGAGAAAUAUUUCCUUAGUCCUCACUAAGGAUAUUCUUGACCAAUGUCCAGUGAUCUACUCCUAGAUCACUAUUGUACUCCCUUGUCAAAUACAGAGCAAGGUAUACAAUAGGUCUGGUACAUAGCAUAGCAUACUUUAUAGAACCUAUGACUGAGGCAUAGGGAAUGACUUUUCAUUCUCUUUCUAUUUUCUGCUGUGGUCGGGAUUUGAGUCUUACUCAAUUUCAUACCUUUGCAACACAGGCAAGAACUCUUUCUUUGACUGUUCCAUUUUGAACUACUUCAAAAUCUUGUCAAGGUAUGUACUCAUUGAAAAUCUUAUCAAGCGUCUUGAUCUAUUUCAAUAGAUCUUGAUGCUCAACAUGUAAGUAGCUUUACUGAGGUCUUUCUUCGAAAAACUCCUUUCAAAUACUCCUUUAUGCUUUGCAGAAUAAUUCUACAUUACUUCCGAUCAACAAUAUGUCAUUCACAUAUACUUAUCAGAAAUGUUGUAGUGCUCCCACUCACUUUCUUGUAAAUACAGGCUUCACCGCAAGUCUGUAUAAAACUAUAUGCUUUGAUCAACUUAUCAAAGCGUAUAUUCCAACUCCGAGAUGCUUGCACUAGUCCAUAGAUGCACAUUUUGUUAACACCUUUAGGAUCGACAAAACCUCUUGGUUGCAUCACAUACAACUGUUCUUUAAUAACUCCAUUAAGGAAUGCAGUUUUGUUUAUCCAUUUGCCAGAUUUCAUAAAAUCCGGCAAUUGCUAACAUGAUUCGGAUAGACUUAGCAUCGAUACGAGUGAGAAAAUCUCAUCGUAUUCAACCCCUUGAACUUGUUGAAAACCUUUUGCAACAAGUCGAGCUUAGUGGAUAGUAACACUACUAUCAGUGUCCGUCUUCCUCUUGAAGAUCCAUUUAUUUAACAUGGCUUGCUGAUCAUCGAGCAAGUCAAUCAAAGUCCAUACUUUGUUCUCAUACAUGGAUCAUAUCUCAGAUUUUAUGGCCUCAAGCCAUUUCGCGGAAUCUGGGCUCAUCAUCGCUUCCUCAUAGUUCGUAGGUUCAUCAUGGUCUAGUAACAUGACUUUCAGAACAGGAUUACUGUACCACUCUGGUGCGGACCGUACUCUGGAAGACCUACGAGGUUCUGUAGUAACUUGAUCUGAAGUUUCAUGAUCAUCAUCAUUAGCUUCCUCACUAAUUGGUAUAGGAAUCACUGGAACUGAUUUCUGUGAUGAACUACUUUCCAAUUCGGGAGAAGGUACAAAUUACCUUAUCAAGCUCUUACUUUCCUCCCACUCACUUCUUUCGAGAGAAACUCCUUCUCUAGAAAGGAUCCGUUUUUAGCAACGAAUAUCUUGCCUUCGGAUCUGUGAUAGAAGGUGGACCCAACAAUUUCCUUUGGGUAUUCUAUGAAGACGCCUUUCUCCGAUUUGGGUUUGAGCUUAUCAGGAUGAAACUUUUUUUACAUAAGCAUCGCAGCCCCAAGCUUUAAGAAACGACAGCUUAGGUUUACUGCUAAACCAUAGUUCAUACGGUGUCGUCUCAACGGAUUUAGAUGGUGCCCUAUUAAAUGUGAAUGCAGUUGUCUCUAAUGCAUAACCCCAAAACGAUAGUGGUAAACUAAUAAGAGAUAUCAUAGAUCGCACCAUAUUUAGUAAAGUACGAUUACGACAUUCGGACACACCAUUACAUUGUGGUGUUCCAGGUGGCGUGAGUUUGUGAAACUAUUCCACAUUGUUUUAAUUGAAGACCAAACACGUAACUCAAACAUUUGUCUCCGCGAUCAAAUCACAGAAACUUUAUUUUCUUGUUACGAUGAUUCUCCACUUCACUCUGAAAUUCUUUGAACCUUUCAACUAUUUCAGACUUAUGUUUCAUCAAGUAGAUAUACCCAUAUCUACUCAAAUCAUCUUGUGAAGGUCAGAAAAUAACGAUACUUGCCACGAGCAUCAACACUCAUUGGAUCGUAUACAUCGGUAUGUAUUAUUUCCAAUAAGUCAGUAGCUUGUUCCAUUGUUCUGGAGAACGGAGUUUUAGUCAUCUUGCCCAAAAGGCACGGUUCGCAAGCAUCAAAUGAUUCAUAACCAAGUGAUUCCGAAAAUCCAUCUUUAUGGAGUUUUUUCAUGCGCUUUACACCGAUAUGACCCAAACGGCAGUGCCACAAAUAAGUUGCACUAUCAUUAUUAACUUUGCAUCUUUUGGUAUCAAUAUUGUGAAUAUGUGUAUCACUACGAUCGAGAUCCAAUAAACUAUUUUCAUUAGGUGUAUGACCAUUGAAGGUCUUAUUCAUGUAAACAGAAUAACAAUUUAUUCUCUAACUUUAAAUGAAUAACCGUAUCGCAAUAAACAUGAUCAAAUCAUAUUCAUGCUUAACGCAAACGCCAAAUAACAUUUAUUUAGGUUUAACACUAAUCCCAAAAGUAUAGGGAGUGUGCGAUGAUGAUCAUAUCAAUCUUGGAACUACUUCCAACACUCAUCGUCACUUCCCCUUCAACUAGUCUUUGUUUAUUCUGUAACUCCUGUUUCGAGUUACUAAUCUUAGCAACCGAACAAGUAUCAAAUACUCAGGGGCUACUACAAACACUAGUAAGGCACACAUCAAUAAUCUGUAUAUCAAAUAUACCCUUGUUCACUUUGCCAUCCUUCUUAUCCACCAAAUAUUCAGGGCAUUUCCGCUUCCAGUGACCAUUUCCUUUGCAGUGUAAGCACUCAGUUUCAGGCUUUGGUCCAACUUUGGGCUUCUUCGUGGAAGUGACAACUUGCUUGUCAUUCUACUUGAAGUUCCCCUUUCUUUCCCUUUGCCCUUUUCUUGAAACUAGUGAUCUUGUCAACCAUCAACACUUGAUGCUCUUUCUUGAUUCCUACCUUCGUCGAUUUCAACAUCACGAAGAGCUCGGGAAUUGUUUUCGUCAUCCCUUGCAUACUAUAGUUCAUCACAAAGUUCUACUAACUUGGUGAUGGUGACUAGAGAACUCUGUCAAUCACUAUCUUAUCUGGAAGAUUAACUCCCACUUGAUUCAAGCGAUUGAAGUACCCAAACAAUCUGAGCACAUGCUCACUAGUUGAGCGAUUCUCCUCCAUCUUUUAGCUAUAGAAUUUGUUGGAGACUUCAUAUCUCUCAACUCGGGUAUUUGCUUCAAAUAUUAACUUCAACUCCUGGAACAUCUUAUAUGGUCCAUGACGUUCAAAAACGUCUUUGAAGUCCCGAUUCUAAGCCGUUAAGCAUGGUGCACUAAACUAUCAAGUAGUCAUCAUAUUGAGCUAGCCAAUCGUUCAUAACAUUUGUAUCUGCUCCUGCAAUAGGUCUGUCACCUAGCGGUGCAUUAAGGACAUAAUUCUUCUGUGCAGCAAUGAGGAUAAACCUCAGAUCACGGAUCCAAUCCGCAUCAUUGCUACUAACAUCUUUCAACACAAUUUUCUCUAGGAACAUAUCAAAAUAAACAUAUGAAAGCAACAACGCGAGCUAUUGAUCUACAACAAACAUUGACAAGCAAGAUACUAUCAGGUACUAAGUUCAUGAUAAAUUUAAGUUCAAUUAAUCAUAUUACUUAAGAACUCCCACUUAGACAGACAUCUCUCUAGUCAUCUAAGUGAUCACGUGAUCCAAAUCAACCAAACCAUGUCCGAUCAUCACGUGAGAUGGAGUAGUUUCAAUGGUGAACAUCGCUAUGUUGAUCAUAUCUACUAUAUGAUUCACGCUCGACCUUUCGGUCUCCGUGUUCCGAGGCCAUAUCUGUAUAUGCUAGGCUCGUCAAGUAUAACCUGAGUAUUCCGCGUGUGCAACUGUUUUGCACCCGUUGUAUUUGAACGUAGAGCCUAUCACACCCGAUCAUCACGUGGUGUCUCAGCACGAAGAACUUUCACAACGGUGCAUACUCAGGGAGAAUAUUUCUUGAUAAUUAGUGAGAGAUCAUCUUAAAAUGCUACCGUCAAUCAAAGCAAGAUAAGAUGCAUAAAGGAUAAACAUCACAUGCAAUCAAUAUAAGUGAUAUGAUAUGGCCAUCAUCAUCUUGUGCUUGUGAUCUCCAUCUUCGAAGCACCGUCAUGAUCACCAUCGUCACCGGCGCGACACCUUGAUCUCCAUCGUAGCAUCGUUGUCGUUACGCCAUCUAUUGUUUCUACGACUAUCGCUACCGCUUAGUGAUAAAGUAAAGCAAUUACAGGGCGUUUGCAUUUCAUACAAUAAAGCGACAACCAUAUGGCUCCUGCCAGUUGCCGAUAACUUUGGUUACAAAACAUGAUCAUCUCAUACAAUAAAAUAUAGCAUCACGUCUUGACCAUAUCACAUCACAACAUGCCUUGCAAAAACAAGUUAGACGUCCUCUACUUUGUUGUUGCAAAUUUUAUGUGGCUGCUACGGGCUUAGCAAGAACCGUUCUUACCUACGCAUCAAAAAAACCACAACGAUAGUUCGUCAAGUUGGUGCUGUUUUAACCUUCGCAAGGACCGGGCGUAGCCACACUCGAUUCAGCUAAAGUGAGAGAGAUAGACACCCGCCAGUCACCUUUAAGCACAAGUGCUCGUAACGGUGAAACCAGUCUCGCGUAAGCGUACGCGUAAUGUCGGUCCGGGCCGCUUCAUCUCACAAUACCGCCGAACCAAAGUAUGACAUGCUGGUAAGCAGUAUGACUUGUAUCGCCCACAACUCACUUGUGUUCUACUCAUGCAUAUAACAUCAACGCAUAAAACCUAGGCUCGGAUGCCACUAUUGGGGAAUGUAGUAAUUUCAAAAAAAUUCCUACGCACACGCAAGAUCAUGGUGAUGAUAUAGCAACGAGAGGGGAGAGUAUAGUCCACGCACCCUCGUAGACCGUAAGCGGAAGCGUUAGAACAACGCGGUUGAUGUAGUCGUACGUCUUCACGGCCCGACCGAUCAAGCACCGAAACUACGGCACCUCCGAGUUCUAGCACACGUUCAGCUCGAUGACGUCCCUCGAACUCCGAUCCAGCCGAGUGUUGAGGGAGAGUUCCGUCAGCACGACGGCAUGGUGACGAUCUUGAUGUACUACCGAUGCAGGGCUUCGCCUAAGCACCGCAACGAUAUUAUCGAGGUGGAUUAUGGUGGAGGGGGGCACCGCACACGGCUAAGAGAUCCAAAGGAUCAAUUGUUGUUGUCUAGAGGUGCCCCCCUGCCCCCAUAUAUAAAGGAGCAAGGGGGGAGGGGGCGGCCGUCCUAGUAGGGGCGCGCCAAGGGGAGUCCUACUCCCACCGGGAGUAGGACUCCCUCCUUCCUUGUUGGAGUAGGAGAAGGGGGAAAGAGGGGGAGAGGAGGAAGGAAAAGGGGGCCGCACCCCUUGUCCAAUUCGGACUAGAGAGGGGCUGCGCGCCUCCUUCCUUUCGGCCUCUCUCCUCUAUUCCCGUAUGGCCCAAUAAGGCCCAUAUACUCCCCGGCGAAUUCCCGUAACUCUCCGGUACUCCGAAAAGUACCCGAAUCACUCGGAACCUUUCCGAACUCCGAAUAUAGUCGUCCAAUAUAUCGAUCUUUACGUCUCGACCAUUUCGAGACUCCUCGUCAUGUCCCCGAUCUCAUCCGGGACUCCGAACUCCUUCGGUACAUCAAAACUCAUAAACUCAUAAUAUAACUGUCAUCGAAACCUUAAGCGUGCGGACCCUACGGGUUCGAGAACAAUGUAGACAUGACCUAGAACUAUUCUCGGUCAAUAACCAAUAGCGGAACCUGGAUGCUCAUAUUGGCUCCCACAUAUUCUACGAAGAUCUUUAUCGGUCAAACCGCAUAACAAUAUACGUUGUUCCCUUUGUCAUCGGUAUGUUACUUGCCCGAGAUUCGAUCGUCGGUAUCCAAUACCUAGUUCAAUCUCGUUACCAACAAGUCUCUUUACUCGUUAUGUAAUGCAUCAUCCCGUAACCAACUCAUUGGUCACUUUGCUUGCAAGGCUUAUAAUGAUGUGCAUUACCGAGAGGGCCCAGAGAUACCUCUCCGACAAUCGGAGUGACAAAACCUAAUCUCGAAAUACGCCAACUCAACAUGUACCUUCGGAGACACCUGUAGUACUCCUUUAUAAUCACCCAGUUACGUUGUGACGUUUGGUAGUACCCAAAGUGUUCCUCCGGUAAACGGGAGUUGCAUAAUCUCAUAGUUACAGGAACAUGUAUAAGUCAUGAAGAAAGCAAUAGCAACAUACUAAACGAUCAAGUGCUAAGCUAACGGAAUGGGUCAAGUCAAUCACAUCAUUCUCCUAAUGAUGUGAUCCCGUUAAUCAAAUGACAACUCUUUUGUCCAUGGCUAGGAAACAUAACCAUCUCUGAUAAACGAGCUAGUCAAGUAGAGGCAUACUAGUGACACUAUGUUUGUCUAUGUAUUCACACAUGUAUUAUGUUUCCGGUUAAUACAAUUCUAGCAUGAAUAAUAAACAUUUAUCAUGAAAUAAGGAAAUAAAUAAUAACUUUAUUAUUGCCUCUAGGGCAUAUUUCCUUCAACUAAUUCUUCAAUUAUAUAUGCUCAUUGGUUUCUUUUCUGGAAUAUCAUAUAUAAUUUCCAGUUACUAUGUGUAGCCAAUUCACAACUCUGUAUAAGAAUAUUGUAUGAGAAUAUUCAUAUUUUGAGCAUUUUAAUUUCUUGCAUACUUCUAAUGAUUACACAAAUCAGUUUUUAUGCACCCACUCAUUGGAUUUCAUUAGAUUUUUUAAAGGUGUACACCUUUACCACAUGGAUGAUGAAGUUUAUUUUACAUGGAAAAUGGAGCAAGUUUGUGCUUGUUUUUUUGCUUAUUUGCUCUGCAUUGUCCUCUUUGUUAAGAAAUAAAUAGAAGAGAAAGUAGUAUGUGCUUUUCUAAACAUCUAUACUACUGAAGCACCUUUUCGGUGAGAUUUAAUAUAGCUGUAUUUGUACUACUUUUUGACGAGGGAUAUAACAUGAGAGCUCCAGUGUUGAAACUUUUCAAAGAGACAAAAGUUAACAUUUACAAGCAAACUCUGCUUUUCUACCAUAUUUUGUACGCACACCUUAAAUCCUUAAUAUGUACUUUUCUUCUUAAAACAGGUUCUUUGCAAAAUCAGUUUUGUUGUCUUCUGUUUCAUGUGAUGCGAGAUAAUAUUUUGUUGCAGUGUUGAUCAUAUUUUACCUUUUCCUUUUUGUUUGGAGAAAGAUGUCUCCCUUUCUUACAAAUAUGUUAUUUCUUAAAUAGAACAAUAGUCACCAUACAAGGUUCUUCCACCAAAAAAUGUUUUUAUGUGUGCAGCUAAGAUUGAUUUCUUGCUGAUUGGUUGUUCAAUCUUAUUCUGCAGAACCCGCAUGAGAGACAAGAAACACAAGGUCCAUUAUGAGGUGAGGGUUCUACUGCCCCAUUUUUCAGUUUCAUGACCCGGUUUCUUCAUGUUUUGAAGAUGACUGGGUCUUGCUCGCUUACGGGAUUGUAGUCUAUAGUAGGACUGAAGUAGUACCACCUGAGUUUUUAGGUUCAUAGCAGUUGAUUGAUCUUAAUGUGAGGUGCUAUUUUAGUUAUGAAUACUCGAUGUGCAUGAAUGGCACUUUCUGGUUUGGCAAUGAAUAAUUUAUUCAGUCUCGUGAUAAGAGGUGUAUGCAUGUGAUUUAAAAGAGCCAUGACAAACGAAAGUGCCUUUCUACACCCAGGAGCAAAUGCUCCUGGUGUAAAUAGUAAAAUCAAAAAAAAGAAAAAAAAACUCAAAAAAUUCUGAAUUUUUUUUACAUACUUUUGCAAAUUUGUUGUGCACGCAAAAUUUCAUCGCGAAAUCACAUUGAUGGAAGUCGUGCCAAAAAAAAUCAGAGCUCCAAAAUGCUUUUGUAAGUAACAUUUUGAGAGCAUCGGUUUUUUUACCACGCCUUUCACCAAUGUGAUUUUGCGAUGAAAUUUUGCAUGCACAACAACCAUUUAUGGAAGUAUGCCACAAAAAAAUUCAGAUUUUUUUGAACCUGUUUUGAAUUUUUUUUGAAUUUACUGUUCACACCAGGAGCAUUUGCUCCUGGGUGUAGAAACUCACGUGCCGAUGGCAUUGCCCCAAAGACUAGUAUAAACUACAGUUUUGCUAAAGCACAUCUAGAUGUGCCAUAAGUAUUGCACAACUAAGUCCUAUGUCUCUGCUCUUAUGCCGAGAUUCGUGUGAAUAUUUUCUUUUUCUUUUUUCCCCUCUUUAUACUUGAUUCAGUCACUUAAAUGUGCAAUAAUUAAAGCACAUCUAAAUGUGUCCUAGACGAAAAAGUAAUAAUGUUUUUUGAUAUUUCGUUUCAGGCAAUGAUGGUGAAACAUCGGACUUGUCCACAAUACCCACAUGUGAUAUUUAGUCAUCUUUCGGUCAUUCCAGCGUAUCCUACUACUCUGGUUAGCGAUUGGCCAUCCCCAGCCCAGAUAUGUUGAUUUCACCAUGUAUUUGUGUGAAUAAGAUCCGACAAGUAUUUUCGGACGGAGAAAAUACUAUAAGAUGCAAGAAAUCAGAUUAUUGCGGUUACGAUUGUGCACCUCGUGAGUCGUGACACGAGUAGAUGUCGGCCAGGUCGCCGGCAGAAGCAGCCAACGGCACGAUCGAUCUCCCGGGGUCCUCCGGCCAGCAGCUCGGCAUCAGCAGCCCCAGAAUGCACCGUGCGCAACGGCCAAAAUCAUCACCGUCCGUCCCCGCUCGCCCGGCCCGGUGAGCAGGAGAUCGCCUGGCCAGCGCGCGGCCACAUCGGCGAGCCACCCCACACGCGGCCAUGUGGGCUGCGGCCGCGACCCACCCCGUCGCCCUCGCGGCUCAUCUCCACCGCGCGGAAUCCACCCGAACUCGGCAAAAAUCCCAGGCUUCACCACUCCCGUGGCCAGCGCGCGGCCACCUCAGCCACCCCAUCCGCCCGCCUCGCGCCCCGCGCGCCAAUGGCGACUCGGCAUAAGAUUCCCCGGGAUAAGGACCCGAUCGCGCCCGCCUCCUAUUUAAACGCCGCGCGCUCCCGCUUCACUCCACAGCACCAACGACCACCAGCGCCUCCCACUGCCAGCCUCAGCUCACCCGAAGCAAAGCUAGCGAGUAGCACGCAAUGGCGGGCGCGACCAUGGCGCUCUCCUCCCCGGCGAUGGCGGGCACCCCGGUGAAGGCCUCCAGGGCGGCGCCCUUCGGCGAGGGCCGCAUCACCAUGCGCAAGACGGCGGGCAAGCCCAAGGUGGCGGCGUCCAGCAGCCCGUGGUACGGCUCCGACCGCGUGCUCUACCUCGGCCCGCUCUCCGGCGACCCCCCGAGCUACCUCACCGGCGAGUUCCCCGGCGACUACGGCUGGGACACCGCGGGCCUCUCCGCCGACCCCGAGACCUUCGCCAAGAACCGGGAGCUGGAGGUGAUCCACUGCCGCUGGGCCAUGCUCGGCGCGCUCGGCUGCGUCUUCCCGGAGCUGCUCGCCCGCAACGGCGUCAAGUUCGGCGAGGCCGUGUGGUUCAAGGCCGGCUCCCAGAUCUUCAGCGAGGGCGGCCUCGACUACCUCGGCAACCCCAGCCUGGUGCACGCGCAGAGCAUCCUCGCCAUCUGGGCCUGCCAGGUGGUGCUCAUGGGCGCCGUGGAGGGCUACCGCGUCGCCGGCGGCCCGCUCGGCGAGAUCGUGGACCCGCUCUACCCCGGCGGCAGCUUCGACCCCCUGGGCCUCGCCGAGGACCCCGAGGCGUUCGCGGAGCUCAAGGUGAAGGAGAUCAAGAACGGCCGCCUCGCCAUGUUCUCCAUGUUCGGCUUCUUCGUGCAGGCCAUCGUCACCGGCAAGGGGCCCCUGGAGAACCUCGCCGACCACCUCGCCGACCCCGUCAACAACAACGCCUGGGCCUUCGCCACCAACUUCGUCCCCGGCAAGUGAGCGCGGUCAGCUCAACCUCUAGGCCGACAACUUCAUGGCUGAUGGAUGCUGCUGCAUGUGUGUCGUCGUCGAUCUCUGCUUCUUCCCGUUGUGAGAUUGAGUAGUCCGGACUGAUAGAUGUUGCAUGUGAGGGCGAGUCGAGAUGAGGAGUUGGUGUGUGUACACUAAGAUGGUGUUUGUGUAAUAUCUGGCUAUUUUCUCAGAUUAAUCAAGGCAUCUCUGUUCUUCUGCUUAA
rnacentral:lncRNA from 1 species